UUGGGCAAGGAACCUGAAAUGCUAGCAUUUGAGAAGUCAAGAUACUCAACCUCCUUUUGAGACUGAAGCCAAACAGGAAAUGAAUUACCCAAAUUGCAUGAACGCAUACCAAGAGCAAAGAUCUGAAAAGGAGGGGUCCAAUUGGAACUGACACUCAAAAUGAAAGAAUUAGAGUCCAAGUAUAACUUCUUCAGCUUACUUAGCUUUGAAAAAUGUUUUUCAGAGAGAGUCCCCAUCAAACCAUUGAAAGAAACAUCUAAGGUAACCAAUUCAGAAAGUUGCCCAAAACUAUCCGGGAGACUUCCAUUUAGAUUAUUUCCAUCAAGCCUCAUUUCCUUUAGGUGGUGCAAGUUCCCCAGAGAAGCAGGUAUCAAACCUUGAAGCUUGUUAUUCUCUAGUCCGAGUUCCACAAGUUGAGACAAUCUCCCUAAAGAAGCAGGGAUGGGACCUUGCAGCUUGUUAUCAUCUAGGAUGAGCUCCUCAAGAUUUUCAAGCUUACCCAACCAUUCUGGCAAAUUUCCAAUCAAGUGAUUCUGAGGCAAGAUCAAAUUCUUCAAAUUAGGCAAAAGCCUUUUUGAACUGCAGUUUUUUAUUUCUUCAAGAAAUUCAGGUAAACUUCCUGUCAAGUUGUUACCUUCCACAUUCAAAUAUCUUAACUUGCAAAGGUUUCCAAAGGAGUUUGGAAUUGUACCUAUAAUCACAUAAAGUAAAAAACAAAAUAAACAACUCAAAAUAAGACAAUUAAUGAAUUGUGAGAAUAGUAAGAAAUAAAUUUAGAGUUGUAGUAAUAGAAGUGUUAUAAGCUAAAAGCAGUUUCAUAAUAAUCAUUCCUAUAAAGGUGUAGAGAUGUAAAGAAACAGUUUUUAGUUAUAUCAAAUAAUUUUGUUAUUAGUUUGAAAUUGUAUAUAUAGGUAUGCACACAUAUUUUAUGUACGGUGUGUUUAGACCACCCCUGACAUUACUUAGCCACUUAAUGAAAGAUAGUAAAAAAUCUAAUUUUACAUACAAGAAUGAAGCUUACCAUGCAAGAGAUUUGAAGCCAAAUCGAGAAUUUCUAUCUUCUUCCAGCUUCCCCUCAACAGAUGAAGGCAAUUGCAACUAAGAUUCCUAUUCCAAGAUAAAUCCAAAUACUGCAAAUUAGGUAGCUCACCAAUGCCAAGUGGAAUCCUUCCUGAUAAGUUACUGCUACUUAUAUCGAUGGACUUAAGGCUACUAAUAUUUACAAGCCAUCCUGGAAACGUAGAGUUAAAGUUGUUGCCACGAAUAUUUAAAAUAGCAAGUGAAGUAAAAUUAAUGGAUCUUACAAAGGAACCUAAAUCAAAGAGGCCACAACUAGGAAGAUGCAACUCAAUUAAAAAUGGAAGCUUGUUCAAUGCCUCCACCCAUUGAGAUCCUACCAUUGAAAGGUCAACUUCGCUCAUCUGGAGAUGCUUCAAGGAAACAAGAUUAGCAACCCACUCAAAAUUAUCAACAGACAACUGUUCAUAUUCAGAAGAAAGAUCAAGAUACUGCAAGUUAGAUAGGUUUCCCAAAUUUGGAGGAAUCACACCACUAAAGCCAGCAUAUGAUAGGUUUAAAUAUUUUAAAUUUUUGAAGGAUCCAAAGAAUUUAGGAAUUGGGAUGUCUUUAAAUGAGUUGAAACUCAAAUCUAAAUAUCUCAAAGACAUGAGUUUUUUCAGUGAUGGUCUAAUAUCUCCGCUCAAGUUCCUAUUUUUGUGACCUUCUGGAUUAUGAAGAUCAAUCAUGAUAACAGCCCCUGUACCCUUUUCGCAACCAAUUCCUUGCCAUUGACAACAAUCACUUCCUCUCCACGAUGAAAAUCUUUUCUUUGAAAAUUUCAAACCACUUUUGAAGUCAAUGAGAGCUUCUCGAUCUGAUUGGAGGCAGUUUCCAGAAUGAAUUUCACCAUUACAUGCAAAUUCUGUUGUUAUGAAAGCAAGAGUUGCGAACACCAAACCAAGAAUUGAAAACCCUUCCAUGUGAUGAUAAAUUUUCCAGCUGGGAACACCUGAGAAAUAUAAUUCCAAUGUAAAGAAAAAGGUAAUAAAAAUUUAAGGAACCAUCACAUUAAGAUCAAGACAUGACUUGAACAAUCAGUAACACAGGCAAUAAAAGGUCAUUGGUUUAACAAGAUAAAAAGGUUAGAUAAGGCAGCAAAUUUUGGAUACGAAGAAGAAAUAAUCCUGAUGAUUGUUGUUAAUUAAAGAAGUUACCUACAGAAAAUACCUUAAAAGCAUUAGACAAAUGAAUCUACUGAGAAGAACAUACCUUCACUGCUGGAGUACAACCUUCUUCUUCCUGCUUUACUUGUUUAUUUGGUUUCAGAGGCAUAUAUAUAGAAGAUAUCUCAAAAUUCAACAACUGUAAGAUACUAAAGACCAUUGAAUUUUCAAAAUUGAAGAAACCCAUCAAAGUGCCGGUUUACUUUCAAUCUGUGGUCAUGGGCGAGGAUGUCUAUAGUUUUGAGCCCGCGGUCUCUGGUUAGCUUUAUUGAGUGGCUAGGCUUUUGUUAUAGGUAGGGGUUUUGAAUCGAGGGGCUGCUUUUGUAUACUCUUUGUAUUCCUAGAGGACACUAGUUUGGUGUUUCCUCUUUCAUUUUAAUAUACUUCUCUUUACUUAUCAAAAAAAAAACAAAAGUAGACAAGAUUGAAUUUUCUUGAAUCUAGGCCCUACCAUGAUAGUUGGUAACCUAACAUUGAAUUUCAUGGGCACUGGCCCAGAAUGACAGGUGGUGGCCUCUCUUUUCCCUUUUCACACCUAACGACAUUAAUUUUUCAUUAAAUGAAAGACGACUUAAAUUUCUACCUUGGGCGUCAAAAAGCCUUCUUCAAGACCCAAGAAAACAAAUUGCUUUCAUGGUCAAAAUCAUUCAUUUUCACCAGCCUAGCCUAGGUAGAAAAUUAGAUUUAUAAGGAAUUUCAAAGAGUUUCCCAAUUUUUUAAAAAAGAAAAUGGGACAAUUUAUUUUAAAAUAUAUUUUACCUUCUUUUUGAAGAAAAUGAUUUUCCUUGGUUUCUUUUAUCUUUCUUAACACUUUUAGGAAUGGACAAAUCCUUUCAUAUUUGGUACGAGAAAUGAUUAAAAAAAUUAUAAAUUUUUUCCCUUAUUCGAUUGUCUAUGAAAAAAUUCAGAAAAAGAAAAUUAAAUUUGUCAGAAUUUAUUUUCUUCAAGGAAAAUAAAAAGAAAAAUAUUUUAACAUUUUCCCAAUUUUCCUUAUCAUACAAUUUUUUUUUCUCUUAUUUUAUUGUUUAUGAAAAAAUUCAAAGAAAGACAAUUAAAUUUACCGGGAUUUAUUUUCUUCAAGGAAAAUAAAAAGAAAAAUAUUUUAACAUUUUUCCAUUUUUUUCUUAACAUUUAUUUUUCUUACUUUUUUAUAUGAUAUCAAAAUAUGAGAAAACUAUUUUUUUAAAUAUAUAUAUUUUUUAAAAUUAAACAUAACCUCGUAUUUCAUUAAUUUGAUUGGUCUAGGUAUGCAAUUCAUUGAACAUGACAUGCAAGAUCGUAUGAUACAAAUGAGACUUUUCCAUUAAAUCUCUUGGAUGGUCAAUUUUUGUGUAUGGUCAAUAUUAUGAAGAUGGUGAUGCAAUUGGGAAGGUUUUUCCACGGCCUAAUUCAUAGGGCUAAUGAUUUUAUCAUCUAUAUGUGAAUUAUUAUUAUUUUAAAAAAACUCUGUUUCUUGUGUAGUGGAAUUAUGCUUAAAAGGGACAAGUGGACAUACUACAAAACUAAAGCUAUGGGCCAAGGCAAUAGAUCAAGUUCUUUUCCUUUCCACAUAAAUUUGAAGUCCUUUUCCUCUCCUAAAAACUAAAAACUAAAAACAUAGUUUUAGAUGUGAUUUUUACUUGAUAUACAAAAUUUGAAUUUGGAAUAGAUUUUAUUCUUUUUAAACUAAGUGCUUAGUGAUAUAUAUUAUCAAGUGAAUUUAUUAGCAUAAUAUGAUAUCAAAAUUUUGACUUAUGAGAGCCAUGAGUCAAAAUUUUAUAUCAAUGUUGAUUUUUUUUUUUUUAGUUUACAAUGCCUAUUGGUGACUUGAAGUGUUAUAGUUUUAAUCCAAGUGCCUAACUAGCCAUUCAAUAUUGUGGGAAUUAGAUAUAGUCGACCCAACAACUUAGAUGAAAUAUAGAAAGUAUUGAUAAUCACUAAUUCAAACACUCUUAUAACUUAAAGUGUUAUUAUUUGGGUGGAGUAAAAGCAAUUGAUUGAGUAGCCUUUUAUUAAUUAAGAUAAAAAAAAUUACAUGUUAAUAAUAUAUAUUAAUUCAAAUUUAACUCAUUUAUAGAGGGAUUACUUAAUUGGUACUCAAAUUGUUAUAACACUAAAUGAAUUAGGUCAUUGAUAAAUCUCUAGCACUAUCUAGGUAAUUAAGGGAAUUAUUUUCUUUUAGGGAUGAUAAGAUGGUUGGCCAUUCAUAAUUGGAUUGGCUAUUUUAUCUUCUAUUACUUUAUCUACUUCCUUGCAUGGUGUUUGUAUAAGAGAACAAGAGACAUGACUCUAAAAGUAUAACUUUAAAGCAAAAAACUUUACCAAAAGUAAAGUUUCUUGGAUUUAGCAUGAUUAUGCUUUAUGUCUCCAUUGGAUAUUCUUGCCAAAUUACAAUUUUUAAGAAAUCUCAUAUAUUUCAAAGGAUUAUUCUAAAACUUUUUGAUAUGUUAUUCAUUUUUUUUUCUUAUUUUCUGAUAUUUUUUUUUGUUCUAAGAUUAUCAAACAUGACUUGUAUACUUGCUUUAUCAUCAUAGGUCAUGGACUAAUUCAUAAGGCAUGGAAAUUUUUUUUAUCAUCUAUGUGUGUGGAUUAGUUUUCUUUAGUUAAUUAAAAGUUCAUUGUUUUUGUGUGUGGGACAAGCAAGAGCAAGAUCAUACUCAAGGGACAAGUGGACAUCACACAGUUAAAAUUUGGGUCAAUUUAGUUGAUUAAGUCCUUUCCCUUUCAAAAAGAAUUUAAGAGAUAUAGCUUAAGUCAUUUUCAUUAGAAGAAAAAUUUUAGAAACGUAGAUACUUGCAGAUAUGAUUUUUACUUGGUAUAUGCCAAAGUAAAGACCAAAAUAGAAGGACAAAAAAGGAUCAUUAUGAUAUACACAACUUGAACUUGGACAAGCUUCUAUUCUUUGUUAAUUAACCAAGUGCUCAGUUAUAUAUAUUAACAUAUAUGUCAAAUUAUUAGCUUUAUUUUUCUCAUUUUGGAAAAUGAUAAUGAUAGCCUCACUUUUCUUUGCUUUUAGUGUUUUAUGAGUUGUAUCAUAUUAAAUUCUAGUGGAGUGGAAAAUGACUUGGGUUCUUACCUCCACCACAUAAACCAAGUUUCUUGAUUGAAGACCUUGACUUAGAGAGAAAAAAGAAGAAGUUAUGGAUGGAAAGAAGACAACAAGAUUAAAAUAAACAUUAAAAUUCAUAUAUGAGUAAAAAAACUACACUUAUUUUAAACUUUGCAGGAUCUUAAUCAAAAGAAAUAAAAGAUGUGUAUCAAGGUGCUAAGAAUGAGUCAAGAGCUUCAACAUACAAAAAUAACAUUGAAUCUAUGGGCUUGUUUGGAGGUACAAUUUAGAGAUUUAUAACAUUAUUUAGCAUUUUUUAUUUUAUUUUGGAAGACCUAGACUAGAGAAAAAAAAAAAAGUGGCAAUGGGCCAUUCAAAUGUGGAAUAUAAUUAAAUUUUCAAAGACCUUGACUAUGUGCUAAUAAGUUUAAGUAGAAAAGUAAUUUGAAUUGAUUUAUAAGUUUAAAAAUACAUUUGUUUUAGACUUUGGAAGACCUUGAUUGGGAAUAGAAAAAAGAAGUGUGAGUGGGGUAUUCAGGUUUGAAAUAUAAUUUAACUUUAUAUAUAUAUAUAUAUAGUCUUAAAUUUUGGAAGACCUAGACUUGAAGUGGAAAAAAAAGGCAAUGGGGCAUAUAGUUUUAAACUUUGGAAGACCUAGACUAAGAUGAAAAAAAAUAGCAAUGAGGUAUAUAGUUUUAAACUUAGGAAGACCUAGACUUGAACAAAAAAUAGUAAUGAUGUAUAUAGUUUUAAACUUUAGAAGACCUAGACUUGGAGGAGGGAAAAGUGGCAAUGGGCUAUUCAAAUGUGGAAUAUAAUUAAAUUUUCAUAGAACUUAACUUUGUGCUAAUAGGUUUAAGAAGAAAAAGUGAUCUAAAUUGAUUUAAAAGUUAAAAAUACAUUAGUUUUAGACUUUAUACCUUGACUGGGAGGAAAAAAAAGUGAGUGGGGUAUUCAAGUUUCAAAUAUAGUUUUACUUUAUGUAUAUAAUCUUAAAUUUUGAAGACUUGGACUUAGAGGGGAAAAAGUGGCAGUGGGGUCUAUAGUUUUAAACUUUGGAAGACCAACACUUGGAGAGAAAAAAAAAAAAAAGCAAUGAUGUAUAUAGUUUUAAACUUUAGAAGACCUAGAAUUGGAGGGAAAAAAAGUGACAAUGGGCUAGAUGUGGAAUAUAAUUAAAUUUUCAAAGACCUUGACUUUGUGCUCAUAGGUUUAAGAAGAAAAGUAAUCUAAAUUGAUUUACAAGUUAAAAAAUACAUUUGUUUUAGACUUUAAAAGCCCUUGACCGGGAGAAAAGAAAAAUAUGUGAAUGGGGUAUCUAGAUGUGGAAUAUAUAUAUAUUUAUGAAUUAAAGUAGUCAAAAUUCAUUUCCAUGUUAAAAAACUACAUUUGUUUUAAAACUUUGGGAGACCCUGGCUUAGGUUAUUCAACAUACCAAAAUAGUAUUGAAAAUUAUACAACUCAUUAUGGUAUAAAAAGAAAGGUCCAUAAUGCUCAAGCUAUUAAUUUUAUCCUACAAAAAAUAAAUAAAGAGGAUUAUGAAAAAACAAUGUCAAUUACUUUUUUGUCCCUUAAGAAAAUAUUUUAUUACAUCAAAACUAUUUUGUUCGAGACUUAAAAACAAUGAACUACUUCACAUCAAGCAUAAUCGUAGAUUGUAAGUAUAAUCUUCUUUGAUCUAACUUUUUUUAAUGUCCAUAUGGUGACUAUUAAAAGAGUUUUAUAUAAUAUAUAUAGUUAUAAUUAAACCACUUCAAAGUUAAAAGGCCUUCUAAAUACUCUUUUAGCUCCAAGGGUUGUUCUUUGUAAGGUUUGGAAUAUAUAUAUAAUAAAACCUUUGAGAAAGUAAUUUUUUGAAUUUAAGUUCUUUAAUAUAUUAAAUAAAAAUUGCCUAAAUAUUAAAAUAAAUAAGUUGUAUAUGUUUUAAAUAAAAUAUUAGAUGAAAAUUAAUUUUUAAAAAAUUAACAAGUAUAUGCUUAAUUAGAAGAAUAAAAAAUUUGCUUAUAUCUCAUUAAUUUUCUUGCAAAAUAAAAGGAGUAUUAUAAAAAGAGAAAAGAAUAUUAUUACUUUUUCUAUUUAGAAAAGUCUCAAUCCCAUAUGACUAAAAGGUUGAUGAAAGGAACCUGUAACUUCACCCUUGAGCCCUAAAAGAAUGCCCAAAAAACAACCCUAAUUUUCUUUCCUUUUCUCAAUCAAGUCUCCCUUAUCUCAUAAUGCCAAAGUCCUAAUGCUAUUUAUAUAUCCAUAUUUGGGCUUAGGGAAUACCUAAAUAUAAAAUAGCAUAAUAUAUGGGCUUGUGGGCUGGACAAACAUAGCCCAACACUUGCCUCCACCACAUAAACCAAGUUUCUUUAUUGAAGACCUUGACUUGGAGAAAGAAAAAAAAGGGACGUGUAUGGAAAGACCAUGAGUUGGCACUAAGUCAAGGUCAAUAAGAUUAAAAUAAACAUUAAAAUUGUCUCAGUAAAAAAACUACACUUAUUUUAAACUUUGAAAGAUCUUAAUUGGAAUAAAUAAAAGAUGUAUAUCAAGGUGCUAAGAAUAAGUCAAGAGCAUAGUGACCACGAUUCUCUGUUGUCCAAAAUACCAAGCCUAAAUUAUGAAGUAACUUUGGGCAAAAAAAAAAACCAGAGAAAGAGUCACUAUGACUUUUGUAGAACUCCGGGUAUCAUCCUUAAGGACUUGCCUAUGGAAGUUAUCAAACUAGGUCUAAAAGAUUGCUUUUUGUUAAAUUCUUGAAUUGGAAAAAAUAGAAAUUUGAUUUGAACAAAAUUUAAUUUAAUAAAAUAAACUUUAAAUAAAUUGCAAAAGAAUGAUUGAUUUCUAAUUCAAAUGAUUCAAGAUUGGGGGUUCCACAAUCCAACCUUGGGCAUAGGGCCUCAGGCAAUAUAAGGGUAUCAAUUUUAAUUAGUCUUAAGGUAUUAUGUGGCAUUAAACGAGAUCAACCUAAGUUCCACAACUCAGGGUUACAUUCGUAUCCUAACUUUUAAUAUUUUAUUCCAUUACUAAAAUACCAAAUAGAUAAAUGGGUAUGAAAAUUGGGUUUAAGUCUAGGUGUUAGGCCUUUACCACUCUGUGUAGAUUUGUCUUAGGGUAGAUAAUAAUAGCAAAACCUCAGAUAACUAGGGAUCAAGAAUUACCAAGAAUCCCUAGUAUCAAGGAAUAGGCUAUUGUACCAUCCCCUAAUUCAAACUAACACUAAAAGAUAUUUAUAUUUUCAUCUAUUAUGCCUCAACCCUUCAUUCAUUCCUUUUUUUAGUUCGAUUUUACCCAUUGUUUUCCCUUAGCUGAGCCUUAGGUUUUCAUGUUUCAAACCCCAAGAUGGAUUUUUAGCCUCUCAUGGUGGUGAUUUCAUUCACACAAUCCAUAAAAUAAGAAUAAAGAACCAUUCUUGAAUAAAAGAAAUUAAAAACAAUUGAUUAAAAUAAAGAAAACAAAUCGAGAAUCUCCAAUGUCUUAUUCUCUCCUUAAGAGAAUCCAAGAACAUCUAAUAAUUUUCGAACUCCUAAAAAAGAACUCUAAUGCCCUAUUUAUAGGCUAAAAGUUAAGUUGACACAUGGCAAGAUCCUAGAGAGUAUGUAAAAUCUUCUUUCCAAAUCAAGGGCUCUCAAUAAAAGUUAUAAAAAUUUGAGUCACAGGAGCCUUUGAUGAAAAGAUGUUGAUUUCACAUGAGGAUGAUUCAUUUUGCAUGGUCAUGAGAAAUAUAAAUGGUUUGGUAGCAUUCUAACAUCAGUCUAACGCAUUUGGCAUGGUCAUACAAAAAUUCACAUGCUCAUGCAAAACUGAUUUCCAAGUUGCUGCGAAAACAAGCUCUCUAGUCCAUUUUGCAUGAACACUCCUUUGAUUCCUCUUUGCGCACUUUUCUUCAAUCAUCCAUAUCUUUCUUGUUUCAGCUUCGAUUUGCAAACUAUUUGAAGCUUUGGAUUCCCAACUUCUCGAGCUUCGAAAUGAUAUAUAGCAUGCUAAAAAAUGAUCUCAAGAAAUAAUCCAAAUAUUACCUCAAAUUCAUAGUAUAUGUUGCUACUAGAAUUUGAGUUCCAAUUGGAAUGUAUGAACUUCAAGCCAUAUUCCUCAACUUUCUUUCUCGUGUUUGUUUGCUCUCCAACUCUUUCCACAACCUUCAUUUCUUUCUCUCAUGCUAAGAAUUGCUCCUCUUUCAUUUAUCAAAAUUUUCCUCAUGCUUCACACUCUUGGAGCUUAUUCUAAGCAUGUCUAGUCUCUUUUCUACCAUUAUUGAAAAUGACUUCUCGAACUUGCAUCCCUUUUAUCCUUUAGACCUGAGAUUUAGCUCAAGAUAUAUAUAUGAUCCAUGGCUAGGGUCUUAGCAACAAUUCAUGUUAAGUUGGGUGAAUUAAGCCUUUACAAUUUGCAUAAUUCAUUCCUAUAUGUGCCAUUAGAGCACAAUUUGUGGCUCUAAUCACUUAGGUCAUUCAACAUAAAAAAAAUAGUAUUGAAUCUAUGGGCUUGUUUGGUGGGUAUAAUUUAGAAAUUUAUAGCUUUAUUUGGCAUCUUUUUUCUCCCAAAAUAAUUUUUAAAAAUAAAGUUAAAUAGAGAACAACUUCCAAAGAAUAAAUAAAAAUUGUUUUCACUUUUUUUUUUUAAAGCAAGAGGGAAACAUAAAAUAAUAAUAAUAAUAAUAAUAAUAAUAAUAAUAAUAAUAUUUAAAACAUCACAAAAAAACAAAUGAAGUAAACACAAUCUCUUUCUUCUUUCAUUUUUUCUUUACUAAUCAAUAGAAAAAAUCAUCAAAUAUGAUCUUUCUCUUAAUUAUAUGUAUUUUUUUAAUUUUCUUCAGCUUCUCUAAAAUUUUUUAUUAGACAAAUGAAUUCUGAAUCAAAUAAUUCUUAAAAUAAAAGAUUUAUUCAUUUUUUAAAAUAAUUUGAAACUCAAAUAUCAAUUCAAUUAAUACUAAAUUGUCAUCAAACUCAAAAGCUAAUCUAAUUAAUAGAAAAAAAGUCAAGAACCAAAAUUUAUCAUGAAUGACUUUUCUAAUUUCUUAUUAUAGAUAACUUAGUGGAUUAUAGGUUAAAAUUAUGACAAUGACAACCUUAUUUUUCCUUGUUUUUUAGUCUUGGUGGAGUGCCAUAUGAAUUGUACCACACUAAAUUUUAAUUGAGGAGAAAAAAUAUUAGUGGAUGACAACUUCACUUGAUACCUCUUUCUUGUUUGUGUUUUUGGUCUAGUAACAUAUAAGUUGUACCAUACUAAAUUUUAAUGGAGUGGAAAAUAACUUUAUUACUAACAUGACCAUAAAAACAGAGUGUCUUGACUGAAAACUAAAAGUAAUGUAAGUAAUAGUAGAAAUUAUCUUGCCAAUUAAUACUAGAAGCUUAAUGGCAUCCUCUAUACCUUUUAAACCAUAUACUACAAUCACAAAGCAAACCAAUUUUUGUUAAGAGCUUAAAGAGUGAGAUUUUUUAUUUUUAUUUUUAUUUUUUUUGGGUGGGGGUGAGGAGGGAAUAAAAUUAUUCAAGUUUAAAUCCACAAUAGUCUAGCAAUCUAGAUAUUUUUUAGAACCUAAGAAAUUGAUAUCCUACUACUCAACUAGGCCUAGCAAUUAUUCCAAUCCAUUGAGUUUUUUUUUUUUUUUUUUUUUUUAAGUAAUAUAUUUUCUUUCAUAAGAAAAUACCUCAUAGAUAAAAUUUAUUAAGCAAACUAAAGAAAUAUAAUGUAAAAAAAAAAAAACUUUAAUUACCUAAAGCAAUUCAUUUGAACAUAUUCAAAAUAGACGUAGUUGAACGGGCUCACAACGUUCUCCUAUCGAACAAGAACCUACAGGCGUUGAUCGAAAAUCUCAAGUCAUUUAUCAUCACAAUGUUUCCCUAGCUAGCUUAUCCAUCUUUGGUGCCCAGUGAACAUUUCAUGUUGAAGGAUUUGCCUUUCUACGAGGUUGCUAAUUUAGCGGAUUCUGAAGCACGUCAGGCUUGUCUAGAGAAACGUGAGAAGAAAUGUCAAAAAGGAAUACUAAAGCAAGCUUCAGUUGCUAGCCAUCCAAUAUCCACCUCUACAGUCCAUUCUCCUACCCAAAAGAAGAUGUCUAUGACUCGUCCCAUCCAGAAGGCGAGGACUUCGCCUCUUGCCACUUCAUCUUCAUCUUCUCUAUUCUCUUCAUAUUCCAGCGACGAAGUAGAAGUAGGGGUGAAGUGGCUAGUGCCUCCUAUUAUUUGUGAGGAAGAGGAAGAGGAGGAAAUGGCUACCAACUUGAAAUUCAGAUUUUGCGAAAGGUAGAGUAAACACCUAUCCAAAUAUAUUGCUAUUGACUCAUUUCCUUCAAAGAAAGCCUGUCUGGCGCUUGGAUCAGACUCUCUAUCCAGGCCAACACAACCAAAUUUUGUUGCAGACAUCACCUUGAGCUCGGAUAAAAAACCUUCCUCUGUUGUUGACAUUUCCUAUCAUGAGUUAAGGAAACCCCUUGUCAUCUUAUAGAGCAUUAAUGAGGAAUCAUUUGAGUGUCCGAACCCUUUUUAUCUCUACCCAAAACUAACCUAUGUCCCUAAUCGGGAAGAAGUGUUUGAACUUCUGCGUUGUAUCCCCUCCUUCAUUGAAAGAGAGCUUCUAGUGCAGGACAUGGGGGCACACUUUUCAGCUACACAGUGAAUUCCGGUUGAGGUUGAAGAAGACCUUAACCAGUCUUUCAUGGAGCGGCUUCCUUAAAGUACCCCGGACACUGCCAUUGCCCACAUCAUUCAUAUGAAGGACUAUACUGCUUUUGAGACAGUAGAAGUGGUAAGUUGUCUUCCUCUUUUUCACUUAUGACCUUUCUCAUUUUUCCUUCAGUUUUUUGUUUUAUAAUGAUCUUUGUUGCCCUCCGUGGAUAGUCGGAGUUCGUAAUCUUAUGUAGCAGCGAGCACAUCUCUUCCAAUGACUAGAAGCAACCAAAACCAAAAGGGUAUGCAUUACCCAUAACAUGAGCAAAAACAAGGAGAUCCUAGCUAGCUUGGAAAUAGCAAAAAGUGAGGCUACUGCUGCCUAAAAACUAGCUGACGAAGGUGCUUGUCUGCUAAGGAAGGCUGAGAAGGAGAAGGAAACGUCUCGGGUUGAGGCUCGCAGCUUGGUUGAGAAAAAGAUUGUUAUGGUGGUUGAGAAAGAGAAGGCUGAAAAAGAGGCUACUCGAUUAAGGUGGGAGCUACAAGACCUCCAAGUAGGGUUUACCGCUCAAAAGAAGGAUCUAGAAAUGGGCUACCAAAAAUAGGUUAAUGACAUGUUCUUUUAUGGCUAUCGAUGUUGUAUGAAGAAACACGACAUUGCCAACGAUACUCCCAGCUUUCUUUCUGAUGAUGAGUAGGAUGAGUUUUUAGGCGACCCUGCCCCAGGAGACAUGCUUGAGCCAGGAAAAGAACAUGCUCUAGGAGACAAACCUUUCUCUUAAGACGACUCCCAUGGCAAGCGGACUUGACUUUUUUUUCAUUUAUUUACUUUAGCUGACUGUGGCUUAGACUUUCAUGCUUGUACACACAAUGCAUGCUCUUUCGAGUUUUUUCUUCAAUAUGACUGCACUUAUUAAUUUUUCUCCAAGUGUGCUUUCUUUAACCAUUUGUUUUUGCUACACUAUUUCCAUAAGCAACUUUUAUUGACAAUAUUGCUUUAAGUUAGUUACGUUCCAAGGGCAAAGUAGGGGCACAUCCUCUAAUGUUUGGAAGUGGUAUGCCCUUGAGUCUCAUGCCUUAAUUAUAGCAUAAGGUUCUUCCCAAUUAGUUUGUAGCUUUUUGGCUCUCAUUUCAAUUGUGUUUUCGAAGACUCUUCUGAGGACCAAAAAUCCUAGCCGAAAAAGCCAUGGUCAUGCCCUUUAGUUGUAUUGAGUGAUUGCCCUCUGAUGGUAAGAAGCUAUCCGAAUAGCUGUAGCUUCUCACUUUUUGUUAGCCCAAUCCAGUUGCCUUAUGAGUUCUUCACCAUUGUCCUUUUGAUCUUGUAUGGCUAUUAUAGCAGUAGGCAUGCCAAUUUCGGUUGGAAAUUAGGCUUCCAUCCCAUAAGCAAGGGCGAAGGGAGUGACUUCUGUUGGCCGUUUGGAUGUUGUUAAAUAGACCCAUAAGACUUCGAGCAAUUUGUUUACCCAUUUUUCUUUUGCUCAUUCCAACAUUUUUUUUCAAUGUAUUCAACAUGGUUUUGUUUGUUGUCUCUAUUUGUACGUUGCUUUGCGGAUGGCGGGGUGUUGAGUACAAAUUCUUGAUGUUUAGCUUUGAGCAAAAUGUUCGAAAGACGACACUGUCAAACUAUUGCUCAUUAUCCAUGAUGAUUGCUCAUGGAAUUCUGAAUUAACAUAUGAUGGUUUUCUAGAUGAACUUGGAGACAACUUCGUCUUUGAUAUUGGCAUAGGCUUCUACCUCCACCCACUUACUAAAGUAGUCGGUUGCAAUAAGCAAAAACUUCUUUUGUGUUGCUCCAAUGGGCAAAGAGCUUAAUAUGUCCAUCCCUUAUUGCGCAAAUGGGCAAGGACUUGUGAUUGGGUUGAGGGCUUCUGAAGGUACAUGGGAACAUGUCGUUGACACCGAUCACAUCUUCUGACAUAGUUUUCAACAUCCUACUUCAUGGUGGGCCAAUAGUAUCUUUGCGUGUAAGCGCAGUGCGCUAAAGUUCGUUUGUAUGGGUGAUUGUUGCAUACGUCCUCAUAGAGUUCGGUUAAGACAUACUUGGCCUCUAACUCGCUUAAACACUUUGGGUAUGGACCUCUAAAUGAUCAUUUAUAAAGUUGAUCAUUAAUUAAAGUGAAGCGUGUUGCUUGUAUGUGGAGUUUGUGUGCUUACUUUUUGUGGUACAUCCCUUGUCUAGAGGUAUUUUAUGAUAUUGAGCAUCCAUGCUGAGUUUGUUUGACUUGUAUUACAUAUUGACUAGGGAGUAAUGAAUGGUGUGGCUUGGAGGUAGAUGGGAAACAUUACCAUCCUAUUUAUGAGGAGAGAGGUAGCUACCCCGGCUAGUGCGUCGACCUUUCCAUUUUCCUCUCGUGGUACCCAUUUGAUGAUCCACUCAUCUAGCUUUUUUAGGCGUUUUUCCACGAUGGCGAGGUAUCUGGUCAUAUGUUCAUCAUUUGCUUCGUACUCUUGUUGAAUCUACCCGAUAAUUAGCUAAGAAUCGCUUCUAAAUUCCAACCUAGCAACGGUAAGCAUUAAAGCAAGAUCUAAUCCGAUCAGUAUAGCUUCAUAUUUUGCUUUAUUGUUUGAAGUCGGGAAGUUGAAACAGAUAGCUUGUUCCACUAGUUCCCCAGUGGGUGACUGUGGGACUAGACCUACUCCUAAUCCAGACACCCUGUAUGCUCUGUCUACAUAAAGUAUCCACCAUUGCCCUCUAGGGCGAUCAAUCAGAUAUGUUUGUUUUUUAGGGAGUUUAACUAUAACAUCGACCAUAACUUGCCCUUUUAAGGAUAACCGCGACUGAUACUUGAUUCCAUACUCACUCAACUCGAUUGUCCAUUUCAAUAUCCAUUUGAAUAAGUCCGGCUUGUGCAAGGUGACUCUGAGCGACUAGUUUGUAAGUACGGUCACUUGAUGAGCCUAGAAAUACGAGCGGAGCUUUCGAGCAACACUCUUCAGUGCUAGAGUAGUCUGCUCUACUUGGGAAUAUCGUGUCUUAGCAUCCACCAUUAUUUUCCUCACAUAAUAGAUGGGCCUCUACUCCAUGUCUCAAAUAUGCCGAAAUAGGACGGUGAUGACAGCGUAGUCAAAUAUGACCAGAUAUAUGUAGAGUUCUUCGUCAAACUUAGAGCUGCUUAGAAUAGGCGAUUCAGUGAGAUAACACUUGACUACCUUAAAUGCAUGUUUAUAUUCGUUUAUCCAACCGAACAUGCUUGCCACCUUAAGUGUGAGGAAGAAAGAUCGCAACUUAUCUGUAAAACAAGCUAUGAAACUACCCAAAGCCACGAGAUGGCCUAUGAGGAGCUACAAUUCCUUUUUGCUUCUUGGAGUGAGUGUUUUGAGAACAACUUUCACUUAAGCCGGAUUUACUUCAAUUCCCCUUUGGGUUACCAUAAACCCUAGAAAUUUCCCAACAUUGAUGUCGAAGACACAUUUAGCUGGAUUGAGCUUCAUGUUGUAUGCUUGCAUCAGACGGAAUGCUUUUUCCAAGUGCUGGACAUGCUCAGCUCAAGUCUCGCUCUUUAUAACAAUGUCAUCAAUGUAGACUUCCACAAUUCGGCUAAUCAGGGGCUUUAAGAUCUUUGUCAUUAGUCUCUAGUAAGUAGUGCCAGCAUUCUUGAGUCCAAACGGCAUGACUUUGUAACAAUACAAUCCUUGUGGCAUGAUAGAGUUUGUUUUCUCCUCAUAUGGCUAGAAAAUAGGGAUUUAGUGGUAUUUGAAAAAGACAUCUAGAAAGGAGAGCAUCUCAUGCCCGGUGAUGUCAUCGACUAUUUAAUCUAUCCGAGGUUAGAGAAAAUUAUCCUAUGGGUAGGCGUCAUUUAGGUUGUUGUAGUCAACACAAACUCGUCACUUUCUCUCUUUCUUUAGAACUAUCACCACAUUUACCAACCAAUCCAUAUAUUUGACUUCUUUGAUAAAUCCAACCGCCAAUAGUUUGUCAAUUUCUAUCUAGAUGAUUUUUUAUCUGUCCUGAUGAAAAUGUUGAAUCUUCUUCCGAAUAGGCGUGAGGUGGGUGAAAUGUUGAAAUGUUGAACUUGUGGGAGGCUAUGAUCGGAUGGAUUCUUGGCAUGUCUGAUUGAGUCGAGGCAAAGAUGUCUUUAUUGCGUUGAAGCAUAUUCCAUAGCAGUUCUAGUUCAUCUUGUGCAAGUAAGGAACUGGUGUAGGUGAUUUGAUCUGUGUCAUGUGAGAGGAGCAAUGGUUGGAGCGGAUAAACCGCAGAUGGAUCUUUCUCCAUCGAACUCAGUAAUUGCUAUUGUUCCCUUGCAUUUGAUGGUUCCAAAUGUGCUUCCUCGUAGGCCGGAUGUCUGAAUUCUAGUGCCACCUGAUAACAUUGUUGUGUGGCUAGUUGGCUGCCAAGGAGAUCGACUUACGCCACUUCCGUGAGGUAGCUCAUGUUUUGAUGGUACGUAAAAGGAAUGACUUUCAUUUUGUGAGCCAUGCAAGUCCCAUAAUGGCAUUGUAGAGAGACAGAUUGUCGACCAUUGAGAACUGCACACUCAAUGUGACCGGGCCAGCUUGGACGGGUAAUACAACAUCGCCCAAGGAGGUUGUUGUAGCUUCAUUGAAUUCAGAUAGCAAACAUCCUAGAUUCUUUAGGCAGAUGGUGAGUAGCCCAUUUUCCUAUAGGCCGACAUUUACAAGAGAUCGAUUGAAUUGCUCAGAUCAACUAAGAUUCUACGUAUGUCGAAUCCGCUCACUCCCAGCUUUAAGAUCAAGGAGUCUUCAUGCAGUUGCAACACCCAAUUGACAUUUAUAGGAGAAAAUGUGACUAUGUCGUCGAUUGGACUCACACUUCCUUCUGCAAAGGUGUACUAGACGAAGCUAAUAUGUUUCCUUAUAGAAACCGCACAAAGUAACCUUUGUCUUUGCCGCCUAGAGUUAUGUUUGUCAUCUAUUGGGCCUCCAUGUAUAUAGUUAAUGACAAUUAUGGGAGAUGUCGAAGAUGCAAGGGCUUGGACAGCUACCUCUGGUGUCACCUCUUUUUGCCCGCUGGUUGUGUGAACGUACUACUUAAAGUGGCCAACCUUGAUGAGUUUCUCCACCAAGUAAUGCAUACUCUUGUAUUGUUUAGUGGUGUGCUCGUAAUCCUUAUGGUAGAAGCACUUUCUAUUCCGGUCUCCUUUAGUCGGAUCCGUCUUAAUUAGCUCCAGCCAUCUAAAGUUUGAUAGGUCCUGAAUUUGCUGGAGUAGUCUCUCAUAAGAGAUGCUUAGGGGGAUGAGUCUCACUUCUUCUUGUUGUCGGUCGUCUUGUCUCCUAUUACUUUGCCUUGAUUGGUUCGAGGGCUUAGAACUUCCCGCCUUAACAUUAUGGGUCGGAUAAUUAGUAACCAAGUCUUGUUGAGAGGCUGCUCAGACAUCAUCUUCAAGCAUAGAAUACUUAUCUACCAGCCUGAAUAAGUCAUCCAUUAUUGUAGAUGUCUUCUUCGUGAGGGACUUGAAAAAUGGAGUGCCCAGGUUGAUGUUUCGUUUGAAGAUUUGGAGGAUAACAUCCAUAUUGUACUUGAAGCACUGCUUGCUCGAAUCGCUUCAUAAAAUCCCUUAACUUUUCAUUUUCUUGCAUCUUGAUGUUAUGCAGGGUGCUUAUGUUCUACUUCUGGCAAGUGGAACAUAGGUAGUAGCCUACAAAGGCUUCCAAGACAUCCCAGAAUGUGUUCACAAAAUUUUGUGGGAGGUGGUGAAACCAAGAAAGAGCUUAGCCAUGUAGAUUGGCCGGAAAAACCUUGCACAUUAGUGCAUCAUUCCCUAUGUCGAGGGUCAUGAGCUGCCUGAAUUGCAUGAUUGUGGUCAAAUGGGUUGCUCGUUUCAUUGUACAUUGUGAACUUCAACCCUACGAACCCUUUGGGUGGCUCAUAGCUAAUGAUAUGGGGGAUGAAUGACGUGGAGAGUAUGUCAUCCAGCUGUCAACUGAUGUAGUUGGGUGGGGCUCGCUUUGCUAGCACUUCCUCCUACUACUGCCUUGGUGGUUGAGAGGGCUAAUCAGAUGUGUUUAUUGUGGCUGGUUGACUUAGAUGUGCCCUCAAGGUCUUUGACAUGCGGUUGUCCUUCCACGCCUGGUGCUUGGGGUCUUAGUCAGGCUCACAUCGUGUCAAAUAAAUGUGACCUUUUGUCGCGCCUCCUUUUCCUUAAUGCUUGAGUAAAGCUGGUGUCUUCAUCCGACUGUGUUUGAUGAGCUGACAAAGGUUCCUCCUCGGAUCGUCUCGAGUAGCUACUGAAGAAGAACUUUGUGUCCCUGAGGAAAGAUGCCCCAAUAGGUCAUCAUGAGGCUAUUUGUCGGCUUUGAGUGUGUUGACUUUGAGAGGAGCCCACUAUUGACAUUUGAGCCCGCAAUUCUUCGUUCAUUUUUUAGAGGUCUUAGGUUUGAAGCUCACCACUUGUUUAUUCCUUUUGUAUUGAAUUCACAUGUGAUAGAAUGCAAUGGAGGGUAGUGUUAGGGCAAUUAUUAUAACUAUUAAUCAACUUAACAUACAAUGUGGAUCUAUUACCUAACAAUGUAAGUUGUUGGAUUUGGUAAUCAACAUUUAUUGAGGUUGGAAUUCCUAUCUUAUCUUGGUGAGUUAGAUGACUUUUCUCAAUUUAUGGGGCUAAGAGAAGUACCCUACAACUAAGAUAAUUUGUUUCUUCAUGCCCCAAAUUGCUGAAGUUAAUUUGUUGAUAUAAGAAAGGCUUCCUAUUCUACCAAUAGGUUAACAUAAAGGGCACUAAUCCCAUCCAAUUUUGUUUCCAUGCAUUUAAAAAAAAAAAUCAAUUUAAGAGCGAUACUCUGUAGUUCAUGUUGUAUAUAUAUGCUUUACAUAGUUUGGUGUUUGUUUGCUUUUGUUUGUAAUCUAUGGUGUAGGUUGUACAAUUUUUGUCCCCAUUUAGACUUUAACCUGGAGCUUCCCAUAAACCCUCCCUAAUCAUUUUCCACUCGAGUCAAGCUUCAAAGGCACUACUCUCGAUAGAGAAUUUGGAACUACAUUUCUAUCAUAUUGGGGAUCGGUCUUAACCCAAGUGCCUAGGAGCCUCCAAACAUCAAAUUUAGAAUUUCUAUUAUAUUGGGGGCAUCCCAAUAGGAAAAGUCAACUUGUGCAUGUCUUUUAAUAUGAAAUUAACUAUAUGAUAUAUUUUAAUAUGACUAGUUGUAUCUACUCUCUGCUAAAAGAGUGGAGAGAACUUAAAUGUCUAGUUAAUUAAUCAAUAAAUACAAUAGAAAAAAGAAUAUCUAAUGUAAUACAUGAUGGACUAAUGUAAAAAAUAGAGAUGACAAUUUGAAAAACUGAAAACAAAGAAAGUUAUGGGAUUUAAAAAUUACAAUUUGUUAUAAAUGAAGUGGUGAAUGCCACCACAUUUAUUAUAAUAAAUAUUAAUUAAAUGUUAUUUAUGACUUCCAUUAAUACUCAUUAAUGGAAGCCAUUUGGAAAGCCUAUAAAGGCUUCCCAUCCCCUAUGUAAGAUGUAUCCUGAGUAAGAAAGAAAUUCUUCUCUUUCUCUCUCAUUCUCUCUAUCUUAUUUUUUUUUUCUCUCAUUCUCCAUAUCUUCCAUUCUUUCAACUCGCUUAAUUCUUUUCUUUGAUUUCUUCAUUCCCUUUAUAUAUAUAUAUAUAUAUAUAUAUUUAAAGUAAUAUAUAUGUGUCUUUACUUUUAUUUGCAUUACAUUUAUCCUCGUUUUACAACACGUUAUCAAUGUGAAUUGCUCUAAAGGUAAUUCUCUAUCUUAAACUUGAAGUUGUUUAUAGAGAAUAAAAUUUUACAUAUUUAUAUUACUAUUGAUUUUGUUCAUUUAAUUUGUGUUAUAUAUUGUUAAAAGCUAUAAGCAAAUGAAUUGGUUUUGAUUAUAACAAAAAGUUAUACCAAUGUUAUUAAUUUAUUGUAACUAAUUCUAAUAAUUUUGUUUUGUCAUAUAUCUAAAGUUAUUUGAUAAUGUCAUAAAACUCAAAUUUGUGGCACUUGGCAUUUCGGGAAAGAACUAUCUAUCUUGGGUCCUUGAUGUUGAAAUACAUCUUAAUGUAAUGAAUCUUAGAGUUACAAUUAAAGAAGGAAAUCAAGCAUUCCUACAGGAUCACAUAAAAACUUUGAUUUUCCUUCGUCAUCAUCUCCAUGAAGGUUUAAAAAAUGACGGUAAAAGACCUUUUAUUCUAUGGAGUGAUUUGAAGGAAAGAUAUGACCAUAAAAAAAUUAUGAUUCUCCCUAAAGCUCGAUAUGACUAAAUGCAUUGUUAGUAAAUAUAACUUUGCAUUGUUCAAAAUAAGCUAUCAAUUAAAGUUGUGUGGAGAAACAAAUCACAGAAGAAGACAUGUUAGAAAAAACUUUUACUAUGUUUCAUGCCUCGAAUGUGCUCCUACAAUAACAAUAUUGAGAGUGUAUAUUUACAAAAUACUCUUAAUUAAUAUUAUAUUUUUUUGUUGUUGAACAAAAUAAUGAGCUUUUGAUGAGAAAUUACCAGUCUUGUCAAACUAGAUCUGGACCAUUCCUUGAAGUAAAUGUAUUAUUGUCCUAAACUCGUAGGCAUGGAUGAGGACGUGGUCAUGAUCAUGGUCGUGGAAAGAAUCCCCAAUACCGUGGUUCUUAUGGUAAUAAUUCCUCAAAUUCUCAUAAAAAUAAAGCCUCAUUGCACCACCAAAAGUGGAGUAAUACUGAAGUAAAACAAGAAAAUGGGAAGUGCAUACAAGAUAAACCUCCCAAGAACCAUGAGAAUUAUUGUUGUAGAUGUGGUAUGAAAAGGCAUUGGGCUCAUUCUUGUCGUAGACCCAAACAUUUAACAGACCUUUACCAAGCAUUGAUGAAAGCAAAAAGAAAAGAAAUAGAAAUGAAAUUUAUUGAUGGUGAUGGAGUAGACCUAACCUGCUAUGAUAUUGAUUUCUUUGGAGGUCUUAGUGAAAAAAAUGACCAUUUAAUAAAUGAUGAGAAUACUAACAUUGAUUGUUGUUACUUUAUAUAUCAAAUAAUAUAUUAUUAUGUCUUAUAUUUACAUCUGAUUAUUACAUUUUUUUUAUAUAUAUUUAUUUACAUUAGGCCUUGUUGUUUUUAAUAUUAGUUAUAUCUAAAAUCAUGUGAUAUUUGGUCUCAAGAUGAACGAGGAUGAUGAAUGUCUCGUAAACUAUGCAACCACGCACAUAAUUCUUUGAGAUAAAACAUACUUCCUCAAAUUGACAUUAAUAAAAGCUAAUGUAAGUACCACAUCUGGUACUACAAACUUGGUUGAAGGCUUCAGAAGAGCAAACAUAUUGCUACCAAAUAUAACUAGAUUCCAUAUAAAUGAUGUUUUAUAUUCUAAAAAAUCUAGAACAAAUUUUCUUAGUUUUAAAGAUAUCCAAAGAAGUGGAUAUCAUAUUGAAAUUAUGAACAAAGGUAAUGUAGAAUAUCGUUACAUUAUUUUUAUUAUAUAUGACCAAAAGCUUAUGGUGGAAAAACUCCCGACUUUCUUUUCUAAGUGUAUCAUACAAUUAUAAAGCUUAAUAAAUCAUAUGUUGUCGUGAACCAGAAGUUUAACGACCCAAAAGUUUUUGUCAUUUGGCAAGACAAGCUAGGUCACCUAGGGUCUUUAAUGAUACAUCGAAUAAUCGAACACUCACAUGGACAUCCACUAAAGAACUAGAAGAUUCUUUUGCCCAAUGAAUACUCAUAUGCUACCUGCUCACAAGGUAAAUUGAUAAUCAUACUAUUUUUUUUACUAAAGUCAUAUUUGAGUCACCAGUCUUUUUAGAAAGAAUACAUGGGGACAUAUGUGGACCUAUCCAUCCACCAUGUGAACCAUUUCAUUAUUUUAUGAUCUUAAUAGAUGCAUUUACUAGGUAGUCACAUGUUUGUCUCCUUUCUGCACGUAAUGUUUCCUUUGCUAGGAUUCUUGCACAAAUGAUCAUAUUACAAGCAUAAUUUCUAGAUAAUCUAAUUAAGACAAUAUGUCUUGACAAUGUUGGUGAAUUUACUUUCCAAACAUUCAUUGACUACUACAUGUCAAUAAGGACAAAUAUUGAGCAUCUUGUUUCCCAUACCUAUACCCAAAAUGGUUUAAUAGAAUGUUUUAUGAAACAUCUUCAAUUAAUAGAUCGACCAUUAUUAAUGAAAACCAAAUUACCUACUUCUGCUUGGGGACAUGCUAUUAUGCAUGUUGCAACUUUAGUCCAUAUUCGACCUACAACUUACCAUGAAUACUCUCCUUCACAACUCGUACUUGGAAAACAACCAAAUAUCUCUCACUUAUGAAUCUUUGGUUGUGCAGUAUAUAUACUAAUUGCACCUACACAAAGCACUAAAAUGGGUCUUGGGAUUUUUGUAGGUUUUAGUUCUCUUUCUAUCAUAAGAUAUCUUGAGCCUUUGAUAGACGAUGUUUUUAGAGUUUGCUUUGCAGAUUGUCAUUUUAAUGAAAGCGUUUUCCUAUCAUUAGAGGGAGAAAAUUCGAUUCCAAAAAAAUGAUGGGAAAUUACUUGGAAUGCAUCUACUAUAACCCAUCUUGAUUCUCGUAUAAAUCAAUGUGAACUAGAAGUUCAAAGGAUAAUUCAUUUGUAAAAUCUUACAAAUCAAUUACCAAAUGCAUUCAUUGAUAUAAAGAAAGUGACAAAGUCAUAUAUCUUGGCUUUAAAUACUUCAACAUGGAUUGAUGUCCCUGUAGGACAUUAAAAAAUGAAUUUAAGACAUGCCUAAAGCGUGGUAGACCUGUCAGCUCAAAGGAUGUAACUCCCCGGAAGAGAAGAACGCAAGGAAAACUUGGCACUCUGGAAGAGACCAUCAAAAUGACUAAUCAGUCUACAAUUGAUAAAUCUAUAGUCCCAAAAAAGGCAAAAAUAAUGCAGAAAGCCCAUAAAAAGGCAUAGGUACCUAAAAAUUGUGAGAGCUCAAUAAGUUACGUUGGAAGAAUACCAACAUAGAAAUGAUUGGCCAAAACAAAAAGAAGUUAUAUAGACAAAGUUCAACUCAUUAACAAAAUUAGAAGUUUUUGGACCUGCAGUUCAAACACCUAAAGAUGUGAAGUUUGUUGAAUACAAAUGGGUAUUUGUACGAAAGCGUAAUGAGAAUAAUGAGAUCAUAAGAUAUAAAGCGCAAUUAGUACCACAAGGUUUCUCGUAAAGACUUGGUAUUAACUACGAGGACACAUACUCUCCCGUCAUAGACACAAUAUCAUUUAGUUUCUUAAUUAACUUAGUAGUCUCAGAAGGAUUGGAUAUGUGUCUCAUGGAUGUUAUUACAACAUAUUUAUAUGGAUCCAUGAAUAAUAAUAUAUACAUGAAAAUCCCUUAAGAAUUUAAAUUGUAUGAAGAAAAUAGUAGAAAACCUUAUAGCAUAUACUCAAUCAAGUUGUAACGAUUCUUGUAUGGAUUAAAGAAAUCUGAAACACAUGUGGUAUAAUCGCCUUAGCGAAUACUUGCUAAAAGAAGGGUAUGUGAAUAACCCUAUAUGUCCAUGCAUCUUCAUUAAGAAAUUAGAAACCAGAUUCACAAUUAUUACAGUGUAUGUUAAUGACUUAAAUCUUGUUGGAACUCCUAAAGAGCUCAACAAAAAAUUACUUGAAAAAGGAAUUUGAGAAGAAGGAUCUUGGAAAAGCAAAAUUUUCUCUCAACUUGCAGAUUGAGCAAUUUCCAAAUGGAGUUUUAGUACAUCAAUCAACAUAUAUUAAGAAAAUUUUGAAGCAUUUUCAUAUGGAUAAAGUGCAUCCUUUAAGUUCUCCAAUGGUUGUUUGAUCACUUGAUGUGAAAAAGGACUCAUUUCAUUAUUGCGAAAAAAGUGAAGAAUUACUUGGUCCUGAAGUACCAUAUCUUACUGUUAUUGGUGCACUUAUUAUCUUGCCAAUUGUACACCUUCAGACAUUGUUUUUUUUGCUAAUUUAUUAGUAAGAUAUAGUUUUAGUUCAAUUCAAAGACAUUGGAAUGGUAUCAAACAUAUAUUACGUUAUUUUUCGCGGAAUUAUUGAUAUAGGUUUAUUUUACUCAAAAGAAUCAAAACAACAAUUGCUUGGAUAUGCAAAUGUAGGUUACCUUUUAGAUCCACAUAAAGCUAGGUCACAAACAAAGUAUGUGCUUAAUUGAAAUGAUACUACUAUUUCAUGGAGAUCUGUCAAACAAACAAUGAUGGCCACAUCAUCAAAUCAUUCAGAAAUACUUGCAAUUCAUGAAACAAGUCGUGAAUGUAAAUGAAUAAGAUCUAUGAUCCAGCAUAUUCGAGAAGCAUGUGGACUCUCUUCUAUCAAAGGUGACCCGACAAUAUUAUUUGAAGAUAAUGUUGCAUGCAUUACAUAGAUAAAAUGAGGUUAUAUUAAAGGAGAUAAAACUAAACACAUUUCACCAAAAUUCUUUUAUACACACGAACUCUAUAAGAAUGGUGAAAUUGAUGUGCAACAAAUACGCUCAAGUGAGAUAAUCUAGCAUAUUUAUUCACAAAGUCAUUGUCAACCUUAACAUUCAAGAAGUUAAUACACAAGAUUGGAAUGUGUCAACUCAAGAAUAUCGAAAUGAGGAGGAGUGUUCUUGUAAAAGGGUGUUAGAGUAAUGUACUCUUUUCCCCUUCAUCCAUGUUUUGUCCUAUAGGGUUUUACUGGCAAGGUUUUUAGCGAGACAGUCCUAACAAACCAAAAACAACUUAAAGAAUUAUAAAAAUAUUGUACUCAUUUUCAUUCGCUAGGUUUUUCUCAUAUGGUUUUUUUACUAACAAGAUUUUAAUGAGACAUAUUCUUCUAAUGUGGUGGACAUCCAAGGGGGAAUGUUAUAAAGGAAGUGGUAAAUGUCACCACAUUUGUUAUAAUAAAUGUUAAUUAAAUAUUAUUUAUGACUUUCAUUAAUACUCAUUAAUGGAAGCCAUUUGGAAAGCUUAUAAAAGGCUUCCAAUCUCCUGUGUAAGAUGUAUCCCGAGUAAGAAAGAAAUUAUUCUCUUUCUCUCUCAUUCCCUCUAUCUUAUUCUCUCAUUCUCCUUAUCUUUGAUUCUUUCAAUUCUUUUAAUUCUCUUCUUUGAUUUCUUCCUCCCCAUUAUAUAUAUAAUAUUAUUAAAGUAACAUAUAUUUGUUUCCACUUUUAUAUACGUUGCAUUUAUCCCUGUUUUACAACACAAUCUAUUUUAUUCUUUUGUUUAUACAUUCAACUCAUUUUCUAAAAAUAUUUAACUUAUUUUUAAAAAAUGAUUCUUACAAAAGAUAAUUUAAACUUAGAGAAAUAUUGAUUUUUAUUCCAUUUUAAUUUUCAGAAAAUAUCCACAAUCCACUUUCUAUCUUAUAUUAGAAAAUAAUGCUUAUUUACAGGAAAUUUUAUUUUCAAUUUUUUAUUAAAAAUUGUUUUUGUUUGUUUGUUUUUUUAAUUAACUUAUAGAAUUGAUUUGUAGACCUCAAAAAUGAUUAAUAUCCAGAAAAUGACUUUUAGCUUUCUCAAAUUUUCCCUUGAAAUAUUUUCAAUUCAUAUGUACAAAAAGUAACUUCUAUAUUUUGAAAAAUGUUUUUGAUUAAAAGAAAAUUUUAUUAUGCUUACAGAGAAAAUUAUUUCAGUUUUUUUUUUAUUUAUAGGAAAUGAUUUCAAAUUUUAUUAUAAAAAAGGUUCUUUUUGUUUUUUUCUUUUGUUUUUUUUUUUUUUUUUUAAGAAAAUGAAGAUGUAAUAGAAAAUGAAGAUACCUUCAUAUUUUUCCUGUCUUAUUUACAGAAUAAUAAAAAUAAUAAAUAUUUUUCCUGUCAACAAAAUUCUCCCUCCUUUCCCAAAAAAACCUAAUGUUGUUGCUCUAUCAAUUUAAAUUUAUAAAUUUAUUAAAGUAUUAAUAUCUAUCUUUCAUAAUUUUUACUACAUAGUAUCAUCUUUUAAUAAAUAAAAAAAUAUAAUUUUUAAUUUUUAUUAUGUAUAAAAUUUAUUAUUCCAUUGUUUAUUGAAAUAAGGAUUAAUUUCAUUGAGACCUCUUAAAGUUUAAUAUAAGUACACUAAGCCACCAACGAUUUCAAAUUUCUUCCAUUAACAUCUCUAUAAAUAUAUUUCAUAUAUAAAUUUUAUUUUUUUUAAAAAAUAAAAUUUAGUUUUUAGAAAAUUGUUAAUCACUCUUAUUUAAAAUAUUUUUACUUAAAAUCUCUUUAAAAAAUAAUUUUGAUAAACGAAAAUAAAUUUAUAGGGACACUAAUUGACGAAAUUUGAAACCAAUGGUGAUGAAAUGUAUUUACAUCAAAUCUUGGGUCUCAAUAAAUUAACCUUUGAAAUAAUUAUUGUCUAUUUAUUUUUUAUUUAUUUCUUAUAAUUUAAUAUUUGUUUUAAAGUAGAUAAAAGUUGGUGUGAAUAUUUAAAAUAUUACAAUUCACUUUCAAAAAUUUUCCAAUGUUAUUAUACAUUUUUAAUGAAGAAAAAACAUAAUUCUAAUAUUUAUCUAAAAAUUGGCAAUUUAGAAAAGCUUUUUAGAUAAAAAUAAAAAUACAAAAAAUGAACAAGAUGGGUGCAUUUAGAAAGAUGGAUGCCGAAAUUUCGCUUAUCAGCCUUACAUGGUAUUCCACACCCAUUUUCGUGAAAUUUUCCGAUUUUAUCGGGUAGUCAACGUGGUCAACGCCCAACCGCUGAGAAUGCCAACUGCUUCAAUUUUUGUUUGCCUUUUUGCCGCUGCAGCCACGGGCCACGAGAUUCAAACCAGACAAAAGGCUUAGGCUGAAGCCUAGCUACCACUGGACCAAAUUCCCGUUUGUAAAUAUAAGAUCACAAUAAAUAAUUAAUUAAUUCUAAUUAUUUUAUUUUAAAUUUUAUUUAAUUGAUUAAUAAAAAUAUAAAAACCAUCAUUGUAAUUUUCUUAACAAUUCUUUUUUAUAUAAUUUAUAUGAUAAUUAAAUAUAAAAAAUAUAAAUAUUAAAAAAAUCAUAUAUCAUCAUAUAUUUUAUAUUAUUGAAUGUAUUUGAAUUAAAUAAAUUAUAAUUUUAAUAUUAAAUUUAUCAUCAUUUAUCUCAUUAAUUCUAUUUUAAAAAAUCAUCAUCACUUCACUUUUAAUUUUUUUAUAUUUAUCCUUUUGGAAUGCUUUUCAUCUCACCCUUAUUGCAAAAUUAGGGUCUUUUAAGAAUGUAUUAAGAGUCCCAUGUUUAGAAAUCUGAAAUUUUCAAUCGAGGUGGUUUUUUAUGGGGUUGAAAAGCAAGAAAGUGGGCCCAAAUUGAUAACAAGCAUUACCCAGAAAUGUGUUUUAGCAUAAGAGAGUGGUAGUUACAUCAAACUUGUAACUUUUGGUUUGGCCUUUGUUUGUUUUGUUUUGCAUCUUUGGUUGCCAUUGUGAAGCGUCAAAUUUGUCAUUGUUUCCUGCAAUUUAGAUUUGGACCAAGAAUAAGUUUAAUCCUAUUAAUCAUGUUGGUAUGCCUUGUUUGCUUAAACUUUUGAGUUAAAUUUGUAGUUUAAAUCAGUGUUAUCAAAGGUGAUCGCCUGGGCUGCCUACGUCAUUAGGCUAGACAAGGUAGAUAAAAGUCGCCUUUUGAAGACCUAGGCAAGGUGACUUUAAAGAGGCAAUCGCCUUAGGAUAAGGCACAAGGCAUAGAGGCAAUCGCCUUUGACCAUGAAUUAAGAUUAAACAUACUUAGAUUAUAAUUUCAUUCAAUCUAACAUUGGAUUAAACAAAGUAUAAAAUAAAAUAUUAUAUUAUCAAUCAUAGAGAUAAUAAGAUGGAGGGUUAUCAAUCUAAUCUUGAUGGAAGUAAUAACGAUUUUAAUUUCAAUAAUGACUAUGAUGAUGAUGCCUAAAACUUCUCUAGAAUGUUCAAUCUCUUAUUUUGUUUUUUAUUUUGCUUUUUAGAUGUUUGAAAAAUUAAAAUAUACAUUUAGAUAGGAUGGAUAUCUUUAAACAAUAUGAUGUUUUUUAUAAUAUGAGGUAUAGUAUUUAAUACUUUCAAUAAUUAUUACUAUUUUGUUAAUUUAUAAGACAUCGUGAGUGAUGCAAAAUUAAUAGUGUUGAUUGUUGAAGACAAUACUUAUAUUAGUUGAAUAUCGAAUAGGUAAAUAUAUGUAUAUUUUGUAUCGCCUUACUAUAGUUAGGUUAUCGCCUUGUUUUUCGCCUUUUGCCUUAGGCUAAAAGGAGUCUUAUCACCUUAAUGUCACCUUUUGCUUUUGACAACAUUGGUUUAAAUCCAUGUGUUGAAUCCUUGGCUUUUGAGAGGUCUUAGGUAGUUAGGUUUGAAUCUCACCUGUAGACCCUCAAUUUUGUCCCUUUAGCACAUGUCUUUAAAAUUCGUUUUCAAUGCUCCACAAUAGUUCCUUGGUGGCCCAUGGCUACUCAUACCACUUACCUUUUUUUGAGUCACCUCGGAGACUUUGGUUGAGGGAUUAUUUGACCCCUUAUCGUGACCCUUAGCAGCCCUAUUUUAAACUUAGGCUUUUCAUUCAUUUUUAGGAUAGCUUUUAGGGUAGUCUGCUUAGGCCCACUUAGGCACCCUAGGCCCAUUUAGGCACCCUAGGUCCACUUAGGCACUCUAGGCCCACUUAGGCACCCUAGGUCCACUUAGGCACCCUAGGUCCACUUAGGCACCCUAGGUCCACUUAGGCACCCUAAGCCCAUUUAGGCACCUAGGUCCACUUAAACACCUUAGGCCCAUUUAGGCACCCUAGGUCCACUUAAACACCUUAGGCCCAUUUAGGCACCCUAAGCCCACUUAGGCACCCUAGGCCCACUUAGACACCGUAAGCCCACUUAGACACCCUUGGUCCAUUUAGGCACCCUAGGUCCCCUUAGGCACCUUAGGCCCACUUAGGCCCCCUAGGCCCAUUUAGGCACCCUUGGCCCAUUUAGUUAGGCCCACCUAGUCUCACCUUAGGCCCAUUUAGGCACACUUGACCCAUUAAGACAUUUUUAGCGUUACUUGUAUGACUUGCAUGGUUGCAUGGCUUGUGGGGCUCAGUUUUUAUUUAUUUGUUUAUUUUUAUUUUUAGUUUUAUUUUUAUUAUUAUCAAUCACUUGUUUAUUUUUAUUUGUUAUAUUCCUUUUUAUAUUAUUUUUCUUAGCUUUUUAAUUAACUUAUUUAUUUAUUAUUGUUUUACCAUUUUCUAAUUUAUCUACUCAUUUAUUUAUUCAUUUAGUUAUUUAAUUUAAAAAAAUUUCAUGCUUUUGCGAGGAAACUUACCAUUGAAGUUUAGGGAAAGUGAGACUCUCCUUGAAAGGUUUUGGAGAGGGAGUUUGAAAUUGGGAGGAUUGUUUUUGAAUUGGAAAAUUGGAAAAAGAAGGAAAAAAAUGGGGAAUCUCUCACACCCAUAUAAGGAGUAGACUGCCAUCAUGAGAUAAAAAAAAAAAAAAAAGGAGUUAGAGAUUUUUAUUUUCUAGGGGAUAGAGAGAACAAUAGGAAUUUUUUAGAAGGGGUUUUUUUUUGAGAGAUUCAAGCAUAAAUUAGAAUUUUUUUUUUAAAGAGAGCACUCGGAAUUUUGGAAAAAAGCAAGGGACUUCAGACGGAGAUCGGACUGCCAUUUAAUCAUCAAGAGAGGAUUUUCUCUUUCACUUCAAAGGUUAGUUUUCUAUAUAGUACUUUUAUUUAGCCUAGAUUUUUUUUGGAAAUUUUAGUUUUUGAUUAAUUCUUUGUGUUAAAGUUUAUAUUAUUUUCUUUUUAAAUCCCCAAUUAGUUUAAUUCCAAUCUAUCUUUUAGUUUAAGUUUGUUAAUGAUUUUAAUUCUUAAGUUUAAAUAAUCAUAUUGAAUAAAGUUUGUAUUUUUAAUCCCGAUUAGUUUGAUUUCAAUUCGUUUUUAGUUUAAAUGUAUUCUGUUGAUCUUAAUUCUUGACUUUAAAUAAUCACGUUAAAUAAAGUUUGUAUUUUUAAUCCCAAUUAGUUUGAUUUCAAUUCGUUUUUUUAGUUUAAAUGUAUCUUGUUGAUUUUAAUUCUUUACUUUAAAUAAUCACGUUAAUAAAGUUUGUAUUUUUAAUCCCAAUUAGUUUGAUUUCAAUUCGUUUUUAAUUUAAAUGCAUUAGUUGAUCUUAAUUCUUUGUUUUAAAUAAUCACGUUAAAUAAAGUUUGUAUUUUUAAUCCCAAUUAGUUUGAUUUCAAUUCGUUUUUUUAGUUUAAAUGUAUUUUGUUGAUCUUAAUUCUUAAGUUUAAAUAAUCAUAUUGAAUAAAGUUUGUAUUUUUAAUUCCAAUUAGUUUGAUUUCAAUUCAUUUUUAAUUUAAAUGUAUUUUGUUGAUCUUAAUUCUUUACUUUAAAUAAUCAUAUUGAAUAAAGUUCAUAUUUUUUAUUAUCCCUCAUAAAUUGAGCAUAAUAAUCAAGAAUUAACAUAUGAUUGACUAAACACACAAGUACACCUAGAUUUAAAAAAUAAAAAUAAAUCAAAACUAUACUCAAUUAGAAUUAAAAACAUAAGCUUUAUAUGAUGGGAUUAAGCAAACUAUUGGAUUAAAAUCAUUAACAAGAUUAAAACUAAGCUAUGCUAUAAUUUAAGACAUAAGUUUUAUUUAACAAAAAUUAAUUAAACUAUUAAAUUACAACCAAAAAUGCAUCCAAACUAAAAAAAAGAUAAAUUACAACAAAACUAAAUCGGAAUUAAAAAUAAAUAAAUAAAUAAAUAAACUUUUUCUAAUAAGAUUAUUUUAAACUAAUGAAUUAAAAUCAAUAACACAUUUAGACUAAAUCAUAAAUCAAAACUAAACUAAUGCGGGAUAAAAAAAAUGUAAACUUUAUUUGACAGGAUUAUUUAAACUAAGGAAUUAAAACUACAAACACACUCGAACAAAAAGGUAGGUUAAAACUGAAUUAAUUCAAAAUAUAAAUCUUAUCUAACUGAAUUAUUUGAAGUAAUAAAUUAAAAUUAUAAACAUAUUUAAACUAAUAGAUAAAUUAAAAAUAAACUAAUUUGGGAUAAUAAAAAAUAUGAACUUUAUUCAAUAUGAUUAUUUAAAGUAAGGAAUUAAGAUCAACAAAAUACAUUUAAAUUAAAAACGAAUUGAAAUCAAACUAAUUGGGAUUAAAAAUACAAACUUUAUUCAAUAUGAUUAUUUAAACUUAAGAAUUAAGAUCAACAAAAUACAUUUAAACUAAAAAAAUGAAUUGAAAUCAAACUAAUUGGGAUUAAAAAUACAAACUUUAUUUAACGUGAUUAUUUAAAACAAAGAAUUAAGAUCAACUAAUGCAUUUAAAUUAAAAACGAAUUGAAAUCAAACUAAUUGGGAUUAAAAAUACAAACUUUAUUUAACGUGAUUAUUUAAAAAAAAAAUUAAAAUCAACUAAUGCAUUUAAAUUAAAAACGAAUUGAAAUCAAACUAAUUGGAAUUAAAAAUACAAACUUUAUUAACGUGAUUAUUUAAAGUAAAGAAUCAAGAUCAACAAGAUACAUUUAAACUAAAAAACAAAUUGAAAUCAAACUAAUUGGGAUUAAAAAUACAAACUUUAUUUAACGUGAUUGUUUAAAGUCAAGAAUUAAGAUCAACAGAAUACAUUUAAACUAAAAACGAAUUGAAAUCAAACUAAUCGGGAUUAAAAAUACAAACUUUAUUCAAUAUGAUUAUUUAAACUUAAGAAUUAAAAUCAUUAACAAACUUAAACUAAAAGAUAGAUUGGAAUUAAACUAAUUGGGGAUUUAAAAAGAAAAUAAUAUAAACUUUAACACAAAGAAUUAAUCAAAAACUAAAAUUUCCAAAAAAAAAAUCUAGGCUAAAUAAAAGUACUAUAUAGAAAACUAACCUUUGAAGUGAAAGAGAAAAUCCUCUCUUGAUGAUUAAAUGGUAGCCCGAUCUUCGUCCGAAGUCCCUUGCUUUUUUCCAAAAUUCCGUGUGCUCUCUUUAAAAAAAAAAAAUUAUGCUUUAUGCUUGAAUCUCUCAAAAAAACCCCUUCUAAAAAAUUCCUAUUGUUCUCUCUAUCCCUCAGAAAAUAAAAAUCUCUAACUCUUUUUUUUUUUUUUUUAUGUCAUGAUGGCAGUCUACUCCUUAUAUGGGUGUGAGAGAUUCCCCAUUUUUUUCCUUCUUUUUCCAAUCUUCCCAUUCAAAAACAAUCCUCCCAAUUUCAAACUCCCUCUCCAAAACCUUCUAAGGAGAGUCUCACUUUCCUUAAACUUCAAUGGUAAGUUUUCUUGCAAAAGCAUGAAAUUUUUUUAAAUUAAAUAAUUGAAUGAAUAAAUAAAUGAGUAGAUAAAUUAGAAAAUGGUAAAACAAUAAUAAAUAAAUAAGUUAAUUAAAAAACUAAGAAAAAUAAUAUAAAAAGGAAUAUAACAAAUAAAAAUAAACAAGUGAUUGAUAAUAAUAAAAAUAAAACUAAAAAUAAAAAUAAACAAAUAAAUAAAAACUGAGCCCCACAAGCCAUGCAACCAUGCAAGUCAUACAAGUCACGCUAAAAAUGUCUUAAUGGGCCAAGUGUGCCUAAAUGGGCCUAAGGUGAGACUAGGUGGGCCUAACUAAAUGGGCCAAGGGUGUCUAAGUGGGCUUAGGGUGUCUAAGUGGGCCUAGGGUGCCUAAAUGGGCCAAGGGUGCUUGAGUGGGCUUAGGGUGCCUAAAUGGGCCUAAGGUGUCUAAGUGGACCUAGGGUGCCUAAAUAGGCCUAGGGUGCCUAAGUGGACCUAGGGUGCCUAAAUGGGCCUAGAGUGCCUAAGUGGACCUAGGGUGCCUAAAUGGGCCUAGGGUGCCUAAGUGGGCCUAAGCAGACUACCCUAAAAGCUAUCCUAAAAAUGAAUGAAAAGCCUAAGUCUAAAAUAGGGCUGUCAAGGGUCACAAUAAGGGGUCAGAUAAUCCCUCAACCAAAGUCUCCGAGGUGACUCAGAAAAAGGUAAGUGGUAUGAGUAGCCAUGGGCCACCAAGGAACUAUUGUGGAGCAUUGAAAACGAAUUUUAAAGACAUGUGUUAAAGGGACAAAAUUAAGGGUUUACAAAUAUGCUCCUCUUCGGUAUAGAUCACGAGUGUAGAGAAUGUGAGUAGAAACACGAGUAAUGAGCGGUAUGAAGUGAACUAUACCGAAGAAUUAAAGAAGGACCAGAGAUUUUGUCCUAGCAUAUGAAGAGGUAAGGUCAAAAGAUGGGGUCUCAAUGACAUGGAUGAGACAACUCUACGUGGGGAGGGAAUGGCAAUAAAGAGAGAAAGGUAUGUAACGAGUAGCACAAAGAUGGAAAGAGAUGAAAAGGAUGAUUCAAAGUCAUGGACGAUAUGAAUGAAUCUGGAUCAUGGACAAGGUGAAUGACUUUGGAUCUAGAAUAGGAUAAAUGACUCUGGGUCAUGAGCUCAAGGCUUUAAGCGGAAAGAAUGACUCUAGGUCAAGAUGGAAAACGACUCUAGGUCGAGAGCUCUAGGCUCUAGGUCGAGAGCUCUAGGCUCUAAAUGGAGAAGAAAUGAUUCUGGGUCAUAAAUGGAAAAUGACUCUAGGUCGAGAGCUCAGGGCUCUAAAUGGAAAAUAAAUGACUCUGGGUCAUAAAUAGGAAAAACGACUCUGGGUCGAGAGCUCUAGGCUCUAAAUAGAUAGCCGAUCAGGAUGCUUUCCGGCUCAUGGUGCCUGGUCAAGGCCACUUGCAAGUGGCUAGAAUGAUGAAAAUGAAACAUCUCAGGGAUGUAAAGGAUGCAAACGACUCUGGGUCAUGAGCUCAGGGCUCAAGAUGCUAUAAAUGACUCUGGGUCAUGAUGCAAUGAGUAACUCGGGGUUAUGAUGAAUAGCUCAGGGCUAUGGAUGAAAUGAAUGACUCUAGGUCAUGAUGCAAUGAGUAACUCAGGGUUAGAAUGAAUAGCUCAGGGCUAUGAGCUCCGGGCUCUAGGACUGAUCGGCAUGAAGGAGAAGGAGAAUGCGAUAUGCAAACUCCAGGUCAAACCACUCAUGGGCGACCAAAUGAUGAAGGCUUAGCUCAGGGCUGGAAAGACUCCGGGUCUAUAGGAAACGAUAGCUCAGGGCUACCAGGCUCAGGGCUUGAGGGAAAAAUGAUAGCUCAAAGCUAUAAGACUUAGGGUCUAGAAGGAAUGGAUAGCUCAGGGCCAUAAGGCUCAGGGUCUAGAAGGAAUGGAUAGCUUAGGGCCAUAAGACUCAGGGUCUAGAAGGAAUGGAUAGCUCAGGGCUACUAGGCUCAGGGCCCAAGGGAAGAAGAUAGCUCAGGAGGGCUAUAAGACUCGGGGUCUAGAAGGAAUGGAUAGCUCAGGGCCAUAAGACCCAGGGUUUAGAAGGAAUGGAUAGCUCAGGGCCAUAAGACUUAGGGUUUAAAAGGAAUGGAUAGCUCAGGGCUACUAGGCUCAGGGCCCAAGGGAAGAAGAUAGCUUAGGAGGGCUAUAAGACUCGGGGUCUAGAAGGAAUAGAUAAAGAAGACCAACUUGAAAGUAGAUAGGAAGUAAAUGGGCACCAAGGUGAAUACUCAAAAUGACAAAAGUCGGACUACUGAACUCAAUAAGGAAAAUAUGCCCCAGUAUCUAGGGUGCUCACACUGUUGAAACAACCGGUAAAUCAAUCAUCUGCUAGAAUCAAUGGGUCAAGAACCAAUACAUCAUGACAAACCUCUGAAAAGUCAAAACUGAAGGAGGCCUCUGUGUCUGAAAAACUGCUAUGUCAACGAACCUCAAAAGGCAAAUCUCAAAGUGUGUAUAUCAUGAAUUGUUUAAAAGCAAAUCUCAAAGUACACGAAAGUAAUGCUCAUCUGGAUAACCCAAUAUGCAAGGUAACAAUGGCGUAAACAAAUCUGUCUCAUGAACAUCUGGUUAAAGGACCCACCCACGCUCCUCGGGUGAAACCUGAUGCGAUUCAUCUCUAUCUCAACAAAUCCAUGUAGGGAGGCCCUGAUACAGUCGAUCGUCGGAAGCUUUGGGCUAGUACUCAAUCUAAAACCAAGCUGGCCACUGUCCCAAUCUCAAGGAUACUAAAAGAAUAUGGGGAAAUAUGCCCCAGUAUAAAAUCCGAUAUCAAAGUCAUGAGGUAAACAACUGACACUAAUCAUCCGUCCACAUACCACCGCGCGAACAAAAUCUCAUCAAGGAAAAGGGAAUGUGCCCUAGUGUGGAUAUCUGAUGUCGAAGUCAUGAGGCAAACAACUAACAAUGAUCAUUCAUCCUCGUACCACUGCCCAAACAUAAUCUCAUCAUGGAGAGGGAAAUAUGCCCCAGUAUGGAUAUUUGAUGUCGAAGUCGCGAGGUAAACAAACAACAAUGAUCAUCCAUCUAUGCACAAUCUCACAAAGGAGAGGGGAAUAUGCCCCAAUGUGGAUAUUUGAUGUACAAGGAAGAGUGUCAGAAUCAACCAAAUAUCUUUAUAACCAUGAAUAAGGAUAGCCAUACCAUACAGUAACAGAUAGGAAUCUCGGAGGAACGGGGGAAUAUGCCCUAGUGUGAAUAUAUAAUGCACAACCAAAUGAUGAAUCCAACAUCAUCAAUCAAUUGUCCUCAGCUCAACAAUGAUCUGCUAAGAAGUUAGAAUGAAGUAUCGACUGAUGCCUCAAGGGAGACAUUCUAAAUCUAAUCUCAAAGGAAUAACCAAAAUGAUGAAGGAUGUGGUAAUCUCAAGAAUAGAAGCAUGUCUCUGAUGAAUCCCAAACUAAAUAUGAUAUGAAACCAAUGACCUCAAAAAAAGGAAAUAAGCCUCAGUAUGGAUGUUUGGUGCACGACAAAAGGAUGAAUUCGAUAUCCUCAAUGAACUAUCUCCAAACCCAAAAAUCCAUCAAACAUCAAUAUGCUAUGCGAGAGAGAAACCAGAUGCUUCCAAAAGUAUCUUCCAUAAAAGAGAACAUAGUAACGACUAUACUUCAACCAAUCUGCAAAAGCCUGUCCAAGUGAAGACUGUCAAAGAUAAUGUCUGAUCUCGUGGCCUCAGGGUGGUCUUAAGACACGGGACGUAACGUAGGCCAAGGCGAUAUGGUGAAAGAAAUGAAGGGAAACUAGGCUCAAAUAUCCAAUGAUCAAACCCAUACCCUCGUGUAUAAGAUGUAAUGCAUAGAAAAAAAAUCUCAUGAGCCAUGGACUUAAAAGUAACCAAAGGAAAUGUCGAUAGUGAAAUGAGAGAAAGGAUGAAUGGUCAAACCAUCAAUGAAAUAUGUGAAUGAUGUGAAGAAGGUAUCAAAUCAGUAAUGGGUAUCAACAUGUUGGGAAUGGAUAAAAAGUGGAAUGAAGAUUUGGAAAGAGGUAAUGGGAUACAAAAGAAAGCAAUAAGAAAGUGGAAUGAGUGAUGAUCAACCCAUGUUAGUACAAUAAAGGAAAGUCAUAUCACCAAUGAUGGAAUGGUGGGUAUAAGACAAUGAUCCGGAGACCUUAGUAAGGAGAUUACUCAUCUCUCAUACCUAAUACAUAUCAACCGUGAUCUAAAAAGCAUAGGAUCUCAUAGCACUCUCACAUGAACCCUUGACACUCCAAAUGCAUAACAAGAGUGGCUCAAGAGUGAAAACUCAUAAAAAAAACUCACAAAAAACCCAUAAUGACAAAUAUACCCAAUAAAUGAACCUCAAAAGGUGGCAUAAAUGCCCAAUGGAGCGAGAUACUAUACAUGAACAUAUCAUUGCGCUUUUCUUUUCUUUUCUUUUGAUUUUUUUUUUUUACGCAUGCUCUGAUCAUCAAUAAAUCGAACUCCAACGGGAAAGAUAUAAGGAAUGAACAAACUCUCUCAAAUCAGUGAUGAAUACAUGAACCCUAUCCCAUGAGAUAACCUCUCAAACCAAAAUCUCCGAAUCAAUGUCAAAUGAUGGAAUGAAUAGAGUGAUAUGACCGUCCUUUUUGCACUAAGAUUUGAAGAAUCAUCAACCCAAGGAAGAGAAUAGAUAAGAUGAAACAAAUAAUGAUAAAAACAAGAAAGAGAAUGAAUAUGUGGUGAUAAUAAAAUAAAACAAAUGGGGUGAUAAGGAUAUGAUGGAAAGAAAGAGAAAAUAGGCCUAUAAGUCUAAAGCUCAUGAGACUUUCUUAGCAAAGCAUGCGUAUACAUCAAAGGGCCCCAACCCGAGUGUAGAAAUGGUAAUCAAGGCUAUAAGAAAAGAAAAAAAGGUUUCAGCAUACCACGUGAAGCUCAAUGUGCUAGCAACAGUCUAAUAUAUAAAGGUGAUAAAGUAUAAGGCUAACCGAAAUGAUGGCCACCCAUCCUGCAGCCACGGUCUCAAACAUAAUACUUCUUCAGCUGAUCCACAUUGGUAGACUCUGAAAAUUGGUUUCCAUCUAAGUUAGUCAACCAUGCAGCCCCUUCCGGAGUCAACUCUUGAAUAACAUAAGGCCCACUCCAACUAGGUCUAAACUUUCCUCUGGGGUCUCCAAUCAAACCUCUGAGAAUCCUCAAAACCAAAUCAUCUUUUUGUAAUGGUCUCGGCUUAACCCGUUUCUUGAAGGCACGAGCCAUCUUUCUCUAAUAGGCCUGAACAUGAUCUGCUGCUCUCAAUCUCCUCUUAUCUAAAAGGUUAAGCUGAUCAAAUCGAGCCUAAGCCCACUCUGUCUCAGAAAUCUACUGCUCAAGGGCUACUCUCAAUGAACCCAUCUCUGUCUCGAUUGGUAAAACAGCCUCCAUACCAUACACUAGGGAGUAAGGCGUAGCUCCUGUAGAGGUACGAAAAGAUGUACGGUAUGCCCAUAAUGCAAAAGGGAGCUUCUCUGACCAAUCUCGAGAAGUCUCAACCAUCUUCCUCAAAAUCCUCUUAAUAUUAUUGUUUGCAGCCUCUACUGCCCCAUUGGUCUGUGGCCUAUAUGCAGAAGAUCUAUGAUGUCGGAUGCCAUACUCCUGUAACAAAGUGUCUACCUCAGCUCGGAAGUGCGCCCCUCUAUCGGAAAUCAACUCAUGAGGAACCCCAUAGCGGCAAAUGAUGUGUGAUUUGAUGAAACUGGCAACUCUAGCAGAUGUCAACCUCGCAUAUGAUGCAGCCUCCAUCCACUUGGUGAAAUAAUCUAUGGCGACUAGGAUGAACUCAUGACCACUGGAAGAUUUUGGUGAAACCUUCCCAAUAAUAUCAAUUUCCCAUACUGAGAAUGGCCAUGGCGAGGUCAGAGCGUGUAACUCUGAUGGCGAUGCAUGUAUGAGAUCACCAUGAAUCUGACACUCUGGGCAUUUCUAAAUAAACUGACAACAAUCUGUCUCCAUAGUCAAUCAGAAAUAGCUUGUCCUCAUAAUCUUACGAGCUAGCAUGUGUCCUCCCAUAUGCGGACCACAAACUCCUACAUGAACCUCUCUCAUCACUCGAUCUACAGAGGCUCAAUCUAAACACAAUAGAAGCAUACCAUCAGCUGAUCGCCUAUAUAAGGCAUAUCCACAAAUCACAAAUCUGGUGGCUAAAUGCCUCAGUGCUCUCCGAUCCUUGGCAAUGGCUAUCUCAGGGUAUGUGCCAGAUCUAAGAAAUUGAUAAAUGUCAUGAUUCCAAGGUAGAUCAUCUUGGACCUCUAUUUCUCCAAUCAAACAACAAUAGACGGGUGCAGACCUCAACUCAAUCAGUAACGGAUGUACAACUAUGUCAAUCGGAAUGUCCACAGAGGAAGCUAGGGUAGCUAAGGCGUUGGCAAACCGGUUUUGCACUCUAGGCAAAUGAACAUAUCUCAAGUCAUCAAAUCUCGCAACUAGCAACUCUAAAUAAGCAUGAUACGGUCUAAGCUUCACAUCCCUAGUCUUCCAGUCUCCCUGAAUCUGUCUGAGCACCAGAUUGGAGUCACCAAAUACCUCCAUCUGUCUAAUGCCAAGCUUCAAUGUAGUCUCUAAACCAAGGAUACAAGCCUCAUACUCAACUAUAUUAUUCAUGAUAGGAUGUCGAUCAUGGAAUGCCAAAUGAACAGAUCUCGGAAUAUGAUCGCCCUGAGAGGAUACCAACAUAACACCUAUCCCAUACCCUAACUGAUUGGUUGCACCAUCAAAGUACAAACACCAUCCUGAUAAGCUAGUCAUAGCAACAAACUCCUCAUCUGGAAAAUCAUCAUCAAUUGGUUUAUUCUCAGAUGUCGGUAGUGAGGCUAAGUGAUCGACAACAAUACUUCCCUUAAUAGACUUAUGAGAAACGUACUGAAUAUCGAACUCUGUCAAAAGUACGAGCCAUCUCAUCAAUUUACCAGUCAAUGCAGGUCUAUCAAACAAGUAUCUCAGCGGGUCUAGACAGGAUAUCAAAUGCACUGAAUACUCUGUCAUGUAAUACCUCAAUCUCCUGGUAACCCAAACUAGUGCUAAGCAAAGGCGCUCAAUCAUAACAUAUCUCAUCUCAUACUCCAACAUCCUCUUACUCAGGUAGUAAAUAGCUCAUUUCUUUCCUGAGUCAUCAAUCUGAGCUAAUAUACAUCCUAAGGCCAUGUUUGAAACUGACAAAUAUAGAAGAAGUGGACGUCCUGGCAUAGGAGGCACUAAAACAGGAGGAGAGAGCAAAUACUCCUUAAUCUUCUCAAAUGCAAGUUGACAAUCAUCAUUCCAAACUGUUGGUCGGUUCUUCCUUAAAAGAUGAAAGAUGGGCUCACAUAUGUCUGUCAAUCUGGUUAUGAAUCGAUUAAUGUACUGUAAUCUGCCUAGAAAACUUCUGAUCUCUUUCUCAGUCUUUGGCGUAGGCAUAUCAAGUAUGGCUUUGAUUUUAUCUAGGUAGACCUCUAUGCCUCUCUCACUGACUAUAUGUCCCAAUAAUUUCCUAGAAGUCACUCCUAAGGUGCACUUAUUGGGAUUCAGCCUUAAUCUAAACUUCCGGAUCCUCUCAAAGAAUCUCUUUAGAGCAUCUAGGUGAUCUGCUCUACCUCGGGAUUUCACAAUCAUAUCAUCCACAUAAACUUCAACAUCCCUAUGCAUCAUGUCAUGAAACAAAGUAGUAGCGGCUCUUUGAUAAGUGGCUCAUACGUUCUUCAACCCAAAUGGCAUAACCUUGUAACAAUAGGUACCCCACUCAGUAAUAAAGGCUAUCUUCUCCAUAUCCUCUGGAGCCAUCAAAAUCUGAUUAUACCCUGAAAACCCAUCCAUGAAAGAAAACAUCGAAUGGCCUGCGGUGCUAUCGACCAACAAAUCAAUGUGUGGGAGAGGAAAAUCAUCUUUAGGGCUGGCUUUAUUAAGAUCUCUGAAGUCAACACAAACCCUAACUUUGCCAUCCUUUUUGGGAAUAGGGACGACAUUAGCCAACCACUCUGGAUACUCAACCGUUGAUAUGAACCCAACACUGAGCUAUUUUUAAAUCUCCUCUUUUACUUGCAGACUCCAACAUGGAUGCAAUCGUCUCAAUUUCUGCUUAACUGAUCUGACAUGUGGUAGGGUAGGUAAAUGGUGUUGGACUAUAGAGGGGUUGAGACCAAGCAUGUCUUCAUAAGACCAUGCAAAGACAUCCAAGUAUGACCUAAGUAGGUGAAUGAGUCUAUCCUUCUCAUCUGUAGAUAUUGGUGAACCAAUCUUCAGCUCUUUAGGUUGAUCCUCUAUGCCAAAAUCAAUAGUCUCCACGUCCCCUACAGCAGAUGAAACUCUCUCAUCUAUGGGAUCAGAGUCAUGAUCAAAAGAGUCCCUAUCCAAACCGGGUUGUGCAAUCUCAUCAUCUAUAUCAAAUAUCUGUGUAAUGGGUGAAUGGGGUGCAGAUAUAGAGAUACUAUCACAAGAAACAGACAAAUACUAAAAAAUGCUCAAAUCCAUAAAUGAAGCAAUAGAAACAUCGUCAGAGAGGAAGACAAAUCCCGAUAAAACAUCAAAAGAAAGAGGUGGGUCCACAAGGUCGGACGCUCCUUCAAUUGGGCUAACAAUGCCCUCAAACAAACUACUAUCAUCCUCUGGAAGCUCUAGAACAUGAAUAGUCUGGGUCUCUUCAAGAACCUCAAUGGUAGAUACCCCAAACAUAUCAAAUGGUGAAACAGGCUGAAGUUGAACAAUGCUGGUAAUCUGGCUCACGGUCAUCAUGUCCAUCUCAUCUUGGUACUCAUCAUGGGGAACAACUCCAUCAAUCAUCUCACUAGGAUCAACAAUCACCCCAUCGCCAGUGAUCUCCUCUGGGAAGCAUAGAGACAACAUGCUAGCUCGAUCUGGAGACGUGGCAGUAAUCACCAUAGGGAAAGAAGUGUCGGGAGCCCCAUCACUCAAUUGUAACUGGUGAAACAGAUGCUGAAGCUCGGUCUCUCUAUCUGUAUGAACCAUACUAUCAAUCUCCUCUAGACGAGGUCGAGUCUCUGAUCCUCUGACAAAGUAGUCAGCCAAACUCAUCCUAUAGGGUCGAAUAGGGUAAUCAAAUGGUGUGUGGGAUAAACAGGCCCUCACCCUCUCACUGCGCAAUUGAGCCAUGUAACGGUAAUCGACCUCGGUAGGGAUGAAUCCAAGUCCAAAUGUCAUAUCAUGAUUAAUGGUAGCUAUGAACUCGAUAGGUCCCUGCUGACGUCACCUUAACCCCAUGCCAGGUAGAAAGGUCAUACCCCUCAUCAUAUCUAGAACCACUGUGCUACUGUGCUGAUCAAAAGACAUAACUAUAAAAUCUCUGCAAAAAUCCUCAAUCUCAAGAAUCUGUAUCUCAUCAAAAGUAAACCCAGUCAGAAGUAGGUCGUCCUCACUGUGACUAAUCUGAAGUACUGGCUCAGAAGCGGCAAAUAUAUCCCUGGUAGACUGUAUUGUGAUGACCUGCCCAUCAUGAAUGAACUUCACUUUCUGAUGAGGGAAGAAGGAAUAGCUCCAGCUAUAUGAAUCCAUGGUCGGCCUAGUAGUAGGUUAAAGGAUGUAGGAAUCCUCAAAACCUGGAACAAAGUGGAGAAUGUGGUUGGACCAAUCUGCAAAUCAAUCACCAAGGUACCCAUAACCUCCCUCUUGGUGCUAUCAUAUGCCCUGACUGUCUGAGUAGAAGGACCAAAAUCUGAAGGCGCGAAACCAAGGGCUAUAGUAGUGGCUAAAGGGUAGACAUUCAAGGUUGAGCCGUUGUCCAGUAGGACAGAUGAGACUCUAUGGCCUGAACAUCCAACUGUGAUAUAUAGAGGGCGUACGUGGUCUGAACCGUCAGGUGGCAAGUCAUCAUCUGAGAACACAAUGCAAGUGGCCCUGCCCGACGUCAUCAUAUGAAUCAAUCCCUCUGGAGUGGUGGUUGUCUCUACUCUGAUCUGACUCAAUGCUCGAAUUAAAGCAUCUCUAUGAGUACUGGAUGAUGCUAAUAGACUUCAGAUGGAAAUACGAGCCUGAGUGCUCUGUAGUUGUCUCAAAACCUUAUCAUCCUCUCUCCUAACCUCCUCAUGAGAGGCUGCACCCUCAAAUGGUCUGACUGCUGGUGGCGGUGGCUGAGCUAUCCUUCCACUACGAGUCACAAUCUGUAUCUCUCUCCCCUUUAAAUCAUCAUCCUCUGGCCAUAAGGUGAAUGGGACAAAAGUAUCCUGACAUCCAAUAACCAAGGGUGUAGAAUAAGUCAACUGGAAUUGUGUCUCGUCUGGGAUCAAACUAAAUGGUGUAGGAGCCUGAGGACCCAAUGAAACCCCAUCAACCUCAUAAUUGUCAUGCAAAACAAUCGGCUCAAGUAGUCCAUCAUCCCAACUCAACAUGUGUAUACUGUCAUCCUCUAUAAGGUCCAUGUGAUGAAUAUCUCCUAGAGAUGGAGACACUGCGUGUGUAGAAUGAGCAGGAAGAGGGUUAGUGGUUACACUUGGCUACUCCAAGUUGACCAAACCCUGGUCUAUCAAAUCUUGCAUAGCAUGUCUCAAAGCAGUGCAAUGGUCUGUGUCAUGUCCUGGUCCUUGAUGGUAGGAACAAUGUAAGUCCAUCCUGAAGCGAGGAAGUAUGGGCUGGGCUAAAGGCCUGGAUGCUAAUGGAAUCAAUAAUCCACCCUCUGUGAGCUUCUGAAAAGCUCGACUUAAAGGCAUACCCAACUGAGCAAACUGACGUGGUGGCCUCUACACAUAAGUAGUGGUCUGCGGAGCUCGGGGUCGAGUAUAUGGGGCAGGAGGCCUCUCUGCGAUGUGUGCAGCAAAAACAGGCUGUGAGACUGAAUGUAGAUAGGUAGGAGUUAGAGGUCUGGAAGGAGCAGGUGGCCUGUAAUGCGCAUGAGGUGAGGGUGGAUAGUAGAACCCAGGAGUCUUCCCAACUGUCUGAUAGCGUUUAGAAGGUCUCAUUCCUACUGAACUAAUAGCACCAAAAUCUCCUGAUCUCUGUCCUCCUGAAGGCUUUUUUCCCUUAGAAUCAGUAGGGGAAGACUCAGACCAUAAUCCUCUAGCGAUGCCCUUAUCUAUACCAUACAAAGCCUGUACCAAAGAUCUAAAAUCCGUAUGAAGAAAUCCCAUCAAGUGUCUAGCGAAUCUAGGUUGCAAACUCCUCAUGAUCAUGCUAAUCUGAUCUCUCUCUGAAGGACGGUCUAUAAUCUGUGAAAUCUUCUCCCUCCAGCGGGAGAUAAAUGAAGUGACUGACUCCUCCGACCUCUGUCUUAAAGCCUCCAACUCUCUUCUCGAAACAUCAAUGAUAGUGUUAAACGCAAACUGUCUAAAAAACUCUUGGGCUAGAUCAUCCCAAGUCCUACGGCGUGAUACGUCUAAUGAAGCGAACCAAUGCUGUGCUGCACCACUCAGUGACAUAGGGGAAAGCAUAACCAGCUGGGCCUCAUCCAGUCCUUGGGCUCUCAUAACAGUACUAUAGAGUCUCAAAUGGAUGCAAACACAACCUAUGUUUGUGUAUCUCUCAAUCUCAGGUAUCCUGAACUUGGCUGGUAAACUGGCCACUAGUGCUCCAUCAAAAUCCUUCCAAGUAAUAGCUUCAUCUGAAGUCUUCAUCUGUCUCAACCUCUGCUCAAGUCUGUCUAUACGAGCAUGUGGGUCCUUUGAGAUCGGGGUAGGCACUAUGGUAGGAGGUGGUGCGACCUUAGUAUGACUUUGCAAGUAAAAGGUACAGUCUGUGGUGUUGGCUAACUGUGCGGAGGUGGUGGUGGUACUGUGGUAUCAAACUGGGUAUCCUCCUGAACUGGGACCUGUUGGGCCUACUGCCCAUCUAUCCUCUGUCCAAGGCUGGCUAAAGCUUCCUGGAUCGAAGCCAUGGUUGCAGCAAACUGGUCAAUAGUAACUAUAUGAGAAUCCAUAUCCCCCUGAUCUGAUAUCUGGUCUGACUGGUCUGAUGCUCUGGUCAAUCUGCCUCGAACUCUAAUCCACGAAGGUGAAUCCAAACUGGUCACGACAAACUCUCCUUCAAAUAUGGAAACACUGGAUAAGGUGCGGUACGAAGAUGACUCUGUAUGAAUCAUAUUGAUAAGUGUGCAGGAAAAUAGCCCAAAUGUACUCAAUCCGAUACCCUCCUCUGAUUACACUAGAAAGAGACUAAGGAAGGGAUAACUGAAUCCAAUCGUGACCAAGACAGCUCUGAAGGUCCAUAGAUGCACCCACGUAUAGGAAUGAAAUCUUAAUUGGGUUUAGGCUAAACUACAAGGUUAAGGCUGUCUAUAAGAUAAAAUGGGUGGGUCAAAGGAUCCCUAGCAGAAGCGAUCGUACCCUCUGGCGGUAUGCAACCCUCUGCACGCCUCCAAAGAGACGGGGUGCUUCUAUGCAAGGUGGUCAUCACCUCCACACAUGCACUUCCUUGUGUUCCUAGGGGGUUUCUUUAAGGUGAAGGCUCUCCCAUCUCUCAACACUCAAGGAUAAUCUAAAGUGCACAAUGAAGGAUGUGGGUGCAUCUGAAAAACCUAACAUCUAAAGUGAAAUAGUGAACAAAGACAAGCAAUCAUACAAUCAUGUAAGAGAAAGGGUUGUCAUGCAACAAGCAGUCAUACCAAGCAGAUAAGUAUCAUACAAUCAAAGUCCUAUCUAGCAUAUGUGAGAGUGAAUCAUGCUGAAGUGAGCAAGCAAUCAAGUGAUCAUUCAAGGCAAUCAAACAUGUUAAGACAACAAACCAAACAAGCAAGCAAAUUAAAUCACCUUGCCUUAAAAAAAUGGGGUACCCUCUAAUCGACCAAUUAAACGCCACAUUUUCCUUAACUAGUGUUCAAGCUUGAUCCUCAAAAUCCCCAGUGGAGUCGCCAAUUUGUGGACCCGCAUUUUUCACGUGCGCCCCCACUCGAUCGGCGAGACUCGCUUUUAUUUAUGAAAAAUUAAUUUUUGGAAAAGUAGGAAUCGCCACUUAUUUUAUUUUAUUUUUGAAAGGGAAAAUAAAACAAGAAAUAAAACCCUAAAAAAUGACUCCAUAAUUUUUGGAAAAGUGUCUUUGAAAAAUCCGAGUCUAAGUUCGGGGAUCAGGUUACUUAUUGGGAAGGUACCUCUAAGAGGUAGCACUCCUCUAAGCACUAUAAAGGUCUCUAUUGACAAAGUUAAAGGAAGUGUGGCAAUUAAUUAGUUAAUUAUGGGUACCUAAGUAGAUUAAGGUGAUUUAAAAAAAAAAAAAAAUAGCAUGCCAAUCAAGAUCAAAUCACAAUAAAGGAAGGUUAGGAUGCGUACCCGGACCGCUUUUCAAGCGCUAUUGUAAAACAUCAAUGGUUAAUUUAAACAAUAUAUCAUCCAACAUGUAUUUGAUUAGAAAUAAUCAAACAAUGAAACAUGUAUAUCGGAACACCCAAGUAUUCUCCAGCAUAGGCAUAGUUCUCAGUGACAAUCAUGUUUACAAAACUUAGAAAGUAGGUGAUAGGGGACGUACCUGGAUAACAUAGAUAACUUACAAUGCACUUCCAUAAGACAUGAGGGAUUAGAUAAUAAUAAAAUAAAGAAACCCUAGCAUGCUUGUUAUCUAAUUAGCAUAACAAAAAUUAUCAAAGUAUAUGAAAACAUUAAUUAUCACACACAUCUUGUAUACAAUUCCUAAAAAAGAUAGACAUAAUUUCAACAAGUGACAAAGGUGGCAACAAAAAUAAUUUUUGAAAAGAUUUUCUUAUGUAGGGGUUUCACCAAUUCCCCAAAUUAAUAUACACUAAUUUAGCCCAGAAUUAUCCCAUUAUUUAGGAUCACAAGCUUUGAUUCGUGUUUUUGUUCAAAACUAAGAUUUUUGUUGAAAACCGAGAAGGAUGCAAAUCGAACAAGAUAUGGUUGCAUAUUAUUUUUAAAUAAAAAAAAAAAGAGAUUUUGAUCCUGAGGACUCUAAAUGAGUUUUUGAAAUAGAUUUUUAAAAUGAUUUUUUGAGAAAAGUAUUUUAUUUUAAAAUAAAAUGAAUUAAUUUGAAAACACUAAAAUAUAAGAAAUAAAAUACCAAAGGAAACAGAAGGAAACGAAUUCACAAAAUAAAGAUUUUAAAAAUCAUGUAAACUAAAGUGGUGAUAACAUAGGCCAAUCUUCAUUAUUAUUCGAUGGCCUCUGAAAAGUGAAUUUUGCAAGAGACUACCAGAGUAACGAACUAUUCAAACUUAGAUCAAAUAAGCUAAUGAGACAUUCAUCAAAAAUUAAAGACUAGUAUUCAGGAAACACAUAAAUUGAGCAUAACAAUCAAGAAUUAACAUAAGAUUGGCUAAAUACACAAGUACACCUAGAUUUAAAAAAUAAAAAUAAAUCAAAACUAUACUCAAUUAGAAUAAAAAACAUAAGCUUUAUGUGAUGGGAUUAAGUAAACUGUUGGAUUAAAAUCAUUAACAAGAUUAAAACUAAGCUAUGCUAUAAUUUAAGACAUAAGUUUUAUUUAACAAAAAUUAAUUAAACUAUUAAAUUACAACCACAAAUGCAUCCAAACUAAAAAAAGAUAAAUUAUAACAAAGCUAAAUCGAAAUUAAAAAUAAAUAAAUAAAUAAAUAAAUAAAUAAAUAAACUUUUUCUAAUAAGGUUAUUUUAAACUAAUGAAUUAAAAUCAAUAACACAUUUAGACUAAAUCAUAAAUCAAAACUAAACUAAUUCAGGAUAAAAAAAAUGUAAACUUUAUUUGACAGGAUUAUUUAAACUAAGGAAUUAAAACUACAAACACACUGAAACAAAAAGGUAGGUUAAAACUGAAUUAAUUCAUAAUAUAAAUCUUAUCUAACAGAAUUAUUUGAAGUAAUAAAUUUAAAUUAUAAACAUAUUUAAACUAAUAGAUAAAUUUAAAAUCAACUAAUUUGGGAUAAAAAAAAUAUAUGAACUUUAUUCAAUAUGAUUAUUUAAAGUAUAGAAUUAAAAUCAACAAAAUACAUUUGAACUAAAAACGAAUUGAAAUCAAACUAAUUGGGAUUAAAAAUACAAACUUUAUUCAAUAUGAUUAUUUAAACUUAAGAAUUAAGAUCAACAAAAUACAUUUAAACUAAAAAACGAAUUGAAAUCAAACUAAUUGGGGUUAAAGAUAUAAACUUUAUUCGAUAUGAUUAUUUAAACUUAAGAAUUAAGAUCAACAAAAUACAUUUAAACUAAAAACGAAUUGAAAUCAAAUUAAUUGGGAUUAAAAAUACAAACUUUAUUUAACGUGAUUAUUUAAAGUAAAGAAUUAAGAUCAACAAAAUACAUUUAAACUAAAAAUGAAUUGAAAUCAAACUAAUUGGGAUUAAAAAUACAAAGUUUAUUUAACGUGAUUAUUUAAAGUCAAGAAUUAAGAUCAACAAAAUACAUUUAAACUAAAAACGAAUUGAAAUCAAACUAAUUGGGAUUAAAAAUACAAACUUUAUUCAAUAUGAUUAUUUAAACUUAAGAAUUAAAAUCAUUAACAAACUUAAACUAAAAGAUAGAUUGGAAUUAAACUAAUUGGAGGUUUAAAAAGAAAAUAAUAUAAACUUUAACACAAAGAAUUAAUCAAAAACUAAAAUUUCCAAAAAAAAAUCUAGGCUAAAUAAAAGUACUAUAUAGAAAACUAACCUUUGAAGUGAAAGAGAAAAUCCUCUCUUGAUGAUUAAAUGGCAGCCCGAUCUCCGUCCGAAGUCCCUUGUUUUUUUCCAAAAUUCCGUGUGCUCUCUUUAAAAAAAAAAAAAUUCUGCUUUAUGCUUGAAUCUCUCAAAAAAACCCCUUUUAAAAAAUUCCUAUUGUUCUCUCUAUCCCCCAGAAAAUAAAAAUCUCUAACUCCCUUUUUUUUUUUUUUUUUAUCUCAUGAUGGCAGUCUACUCCUUAUAUGGCUGUGAGAGAUUCCCCAUUUUUUUUUUCCUUCUUUUUCCAAUCUCCCCAUUCAAAAACAAUCCUCCCAAUUUCAAACUUCCUCUCCAAAACCUUCCAAGGAGAGUCCCACUUUCCUUAAACUUCAAUGGUAAGUUUCCUUCCAAAAACAUGAAAUUUUUUAAAUUAAAUAAUUGAAUGAAUAAAUAAAUGAGUAGAUAAUUUAGAAAACGGUAAAACAAUAAUAAAUAAAUAAGUUAAUUAGAAUAAUAUAAAGAGGAAGAUAACCAAUAAAAAGUGAAUGGUAAUCAUAAAACUAAAACUAAAAAAAAUAAAAAUAAACAAAUUAACAAAAACUGGGCCCCACGAGCCAUGCAACCGUGCAAGUGAUACAAAACGUGAGUCUAAAAGUGCCUAUUAGGCCAAGUGUAUCUAAAUGGGCCUAAGGUGAGACUAGGUGGGCCUAACUAAAUGGGCCUAUGGUGCCUAAAUGAGCCUAGGGUGUUUAAGUGGGCUUAAGGUGCCUAAGUAGGCCUAGUGUAUCUAAAUGGACCUAAGGUGCCUAAAUGGGCCUAGUGUAUCUAAAUGGGCCUAGGGUGCCUAAGUGGGCCUAGGGUACCUAAGUGGGCCUAGGGUGCCUAAAUGGGCCUAAGGUGGUGCCUAAUGGGCCAAGUGUAUUUAAGUGAAGCCUAGUCUAAAUCAAGAUUGCCAAGGAUCACAAUAAGGGGUCAGAUAAAUCUCUUAACCAAAGUCUUCGAUGUGGCUAAAAAAAGGUAGGUAGUAUGAGUAGCAAUGGGCCACCAAGAAACUACUGUGGAGCACUGAAAACGAAUUUAAAGACAUGUGCUAAAAGGACAAAAUUGAGGGUCUACAUCACCACUUAUUUAUUCCCUUCAUAUUGAAUCGAUGUGUGAGAGAAACAGAGAAUUCCAUGGAGGCUAGUGUUAAGGCAAUUAUCACAACUAUUGAUCGACGUAAUUUAGUAUACAUUGCUAAUCCAUUAUCUAAUAGCAUAAGCUGUAGGAUUAAGUGGUAAUCAACAUUUACUAAGGUUGGAAUUCCUAUCUUAUCUUGGUAAGGUAGAUGACUUCUUCUCUCAAUUUAUGGGGCCAAGGGAAGCACCCUACAACUAAGGUGAAUGGUUUCCCAAGUCCCAAAAUUGCUAAGUUAAUUUAUUGAUGCAAGAGAGGCUUCCCCUUCCAUCAACAAGCUUAAGAGGGUAUUUCCAUCACUUUGCUUCUUUUUUCCAUGUUCGAGCUAUAAGGUAAACAUGGGGUGCUAUUCCCUUCCAAUUUUGUUUCCAUGUAUUAAUAUUGUUGGAGAAUAUAGUUGCAAACUAGAAGAAUAUAGUUGGAGGAAUGGGACAUGCUUUUGUAGAUGGUGUCUCAAACUCAAUUCCCAUGCUUAAACUUUUUGAGUUAAAUUGUAGUUUAAAAUAGUGUUGAAUCCUUGGCUUUUGAGGGGUCUUAGGUUUGAACCUCACCGCUUAUUUAUUCCCUUUGUAUUCCAUACAUAUGUGGGAGGAUGUGUUAAGGCAAUUAUCAUAAGUAUUAAUCACCCUAACAUACAUUGUUAAUCCACUAACUAAUAGCAUAAGCUGUUGGACUGUAACCAACAUUUUCUAAGGUUAGAAUUCCUAUCUUAUUUUGUUGAGAUAGAUGACUUCUUCUUUCAAUUUACAAGGCCAAGGGAUGCACUCAACAACUAAGGCAAAUGGUUUCCUGAGUUCCAAAUUGCUAAGUUAAUUUGCUGAUGCAAGAAAGGCUUCUCCUUAUACCAACAGAUUAACAUAGGGCGCUAAUCCCUUCCAAUUUUGUUUCCAUGCAUUGAGAAAAAAAAAAAAAAAAUCAACUUAGAGUGUUUUACCCCAUGGCUUUGGUGUAACUCUGUAAGGUAGUUGGAUGCAUAGCAUGCUAGUAUUGUAGAUACACCUAGCAGUUUCUUGUAACCUUUUUCUUGGUCAUCACCUUGGAAAUUUAUGCAGAAGUGGUCAAAUGGCCACAAAUUAAAAUUACUUCUCUCUCUCUCUCCUGCACAUAAAUACACAUCAUUUUUUGCUCAGUCUUUGUGAACUAUAGUUCCCUCAUUAUUAGAAUUCUGUUAAUUCCUCAUAUUAGUUUAAGAUUUUAAUUUUUUGAUUUAUCUAUUUAUUUAUAUCUUUGUAUUGGAAGAUGUAAGAUAUGUUGGAUAUUUGUAUUUUUGUAACUUCAAUAGUUCUUUUUUUUUCCUGCAGCAAGAAGAAAGCUUAAGCUUAAGGUUCAUGUUGUAUAUAUAUGCUUUACAUAGUUUGAUUGUACACCAAGUGUUUGUUUGCUUCGGUUUGUAGUCUAUGAUAUAGGUUUCAUACUUAGUUGCCUACCAUUUAUUUAUUUUUAUUGCAAUUUUCAUAAUUACCAUAUAUUCUUUUUGUUUUCUGCUUUGUAAAUUGAUUUUUGAGAUUGACAUCUCAUUUUAACAUGUACUUUUAUAAUAUGCUAUGUUUAUUACAUAUUCAGACUCAGGUCAAUGGUGUGUUCCUUUUUGCUACAAUGUGCUCUCUUUAAAGUUAGUGGCUUUGCUGCAGUCUGAGCAUAACUAAACCCAUAGUACAUGUAUUGCAGAAAACACCUACAUUCCACAGUUUAUUGAAAAGAUGGCAACAUAUUACCUGUGCAGAGCACUUCAACAGGUCACUGUAGCUAGAAUUUUGAGCUGAGAACAUCAAACGUGCAGCCCUUAAAUGCAGCUUCUUUGUUGUGUGGUGAAUUUUUCGCUCAUAUAUACUGCUUUGCGUUUGUCUUCUAUGUGUGCCAUGGUUAUUAUCACAAUAUCCAACAAUAUGUCAUGUUCUCACUUUUGAACCUUCCUUCAUGGUUUUGAUCUGCUUUUGGCUAUUCAUAUUAUUUAUAAUAUAUAUGAAAUUUAAUUUCCAAUCACAUAAAAAACCUUGUAAUAUCCUCAAAUACACUUAUAAUCACAUUUCACAUUCUCCCUCCCUUUUCAGAUCACAUUAAUUGUUUAUCCCUUGUGUGUUUGUUGUGGUGUUUCUAUUAGUUCUCGAUCCUUCUUAAGAUUGGUGCUUGUAUUUUUUGAGUUGUUACUACUCUAUUCAUUCUAAGGCUAAAAUAUUCUCCCUAAACUUCAAAUUUUUCUUCACAGAUUUGAUGAAUUGCUUUCCAAAUCAAGAUUAUUGUAAGCUUACACAAAGUACAACAUAAAAUUACAUACAAUAUUUAAUUUAUUGUGAGUUCACACAAAGUAUACAUACAAUCCUUGUAACUGCAUGCCUUCAGUUUUAGCUAGGAUUUGCUCUCCUCUUCAGCCCACAAUUUUGUUUACAAAACCAAAAUAGACUUCAUAGCAAGAUUUGCUAAAUGUACAAAUGAAAAAGGGAAGUAAAACACCAACUGCAAACCCCAACCCAACACUCAAGUAAAACCACUCAUCAAGGUAGCCAUUGCCCUUUUCAUCCACAACAUUCUUUUGCCCUCCAUCUAAACCCUCACCUUGGCAUUUUGUAUCAAGUGGAGCUCCACAAAGGCCUGGGUUUCCUUCAAAUACUGACGCAUUAAAAGUUGUCAUUUGCCCUAUAAAAGGAAUCACACCUGAGAAGUUAUUGUAUGAUAGGUUCAAAUAACCCAAAGCUGACAGUGAAGACAUGCUUCUAGGAAUAACACCAAAAAACAUAUUACUUGAUAGAUCCAGAGAUGAUAAUUGAUGCAACCUUGAAAUGUUUUCUGGAAUAUGACCAGUGAUAUGGUUUCGUGACAAGUUCAGCAUUAUCAAUCCAAACAAUGCUGUUAUUUCCUUUGGAAACUCUCCACUUAAAUUAUUGCUGGAAAGGUCAAUGCUAACAAGGGAAAGAGUCUUUGUAUAUUUUAGGACUUGGCCUUUUGUACUCACAUCUGAGCUUUCUUCGUAGUAUUCUCCUCCAGUGUCAGCCGACAUCGCAUAAAAUAGAUACUUGUUCAUAUUUCCUUCUUGAGCCAUUGCCGAUCACUCAGGGUACUGGGAAUGCUACCAGUCAAAUUAUUUUCUGCAAGGUCCAAGACAUGUAAUGAACUUAAAUUUGAAAACUUAGAAGGAAGCCUUCCUGAAAAAUCAUUUGACCUCAACUUAAGGAUUCUAAGAUUCAUGAAGGCAGUUCCAAUCCAUCUUGGAAUAUUACCGGACAGCUUGUUGUAACUGAGAUCAAGGGUUUCCAAACUCGAUAAAUUUUGGAAAGAUGCUGGGAGCGCUCCAGAGAGAUUGUUAUGGUCAAGGUGAAGCGACUGAAGCCAUUCUAAUUGACCCAAAGACUUUGGAAUCAUUCCAGACAAAUUGUUGUACCCAAGGUCUAGAACAAUUAGGCUUAAGCAAUUCCCUAUGGUUGAAGGGAUGCUUCCUGCCAAUCUGUUCCUUGAAAGAUCAAUGGCUUUAACACGCCACAUAAAUCCUAUAGAAGCAGGGAUGGUUCCUGUUAUUUGAUUACCCGAAAGAGAAAGGAAGAGUAUGGCUUGGAUUGAGUCACCUAUAUUGAGUGGAAUAGAACCAGAAAACUUAUUGUUUGAUAGGUCGAAUACGUCAACAGAUGCAACCACAGGGUUUGGAAGAGGAAUGGGACCUUCAAACUGGUUAGAACUCAAGUCAAUAGAUCCAAAUUCUGCAACGUUUAGCAGACUAGGAAGUUGACCCUGUAUCUGGUUGAGGGAAAUAUUUAAAAUCCACAUAUUGAAGGAAAUAUUCCAAACCAGUUGGGCAAGGAACCUGAAAUGCUAGCAUUUGAGAAGUCAAGAUAUUCAACCUCCUUUUGAGACUGAAGCCAAACAGGAAAUGAAUUACCCAAAUUGCAUGAACGCAUACCAAGAGCAAAGAUCUGAAAAGGAGGGGUCCAAUUGGAACUGACACUCAAAAUGAAAGAAUUAGAGUCCAGGUAUAAUUUCUUCAGCUUACUUAGCUUUGAAAAAUGUUUUUCAGAGAGAGUCCCCAUCAAACCAUUGAAAGAAACAUCUAAGGUAACCAAUUCAGAAAGUUGCCCAAAACUAUCUGGGAGACUUCCAUUUAGAUUAUUUCCGUCAAGCCUCAUUUCCUUUAGGUGGUGCAAGUUCCCCAGAGAAGCAGGUAUCAAACCUUGAAGCUUGUUAUUCUCUAGUCCGAGUUCCACAAGUUGAGACAAUCUCCCUAAAGAAGCAGGGAUGGGACCUUGAAGCUUGUUAUCAUCUAGGAUGAGCUCCUCAAGAUUUUCAAGCUUACCCAACCAUUCUGGCAAAUUUCC
rnacentral:lncRNA from 1 species